rnacentral:lncRNA from 1 species
CCCAAGAAAAGAGGUCUGGGCUAAUGACAAAUGGAGUAAUUUAUAUUUUAAUAGUCUUGAUACCAUGUUUUGGUGUGACGCCUCUAACGUUUUAUCACGAUAGAAAUCUGUAUUAACUAGUAGGUAAUUGGAUCACCCUUCUGUGUAAACAGAGACAUCCUCUGAAAGAAUAGAAGAUUCAUGAAGAUUUGAUGUGGGGAUUUGCUGCAAAACAGGCCUAGGAGGGACUUUAAGAGCUUCCAAGCUUCCUUCCAUCAUCUCUACAACUCUGUUCAUCGCUGGGCGAUCUACCGGAGAAGGCUGAAUACACCACAAACCCACCAAUGUCAUCUUCUUUGCAAGCUCAUUUUCUUCGCUGUUAAUUCCAUCCUCAAUAUGCCUUCCAGACUUGCAUGAUUCAAGAUCCCUAUAUACCCAUUCAAGAAAGUACAUUGAAUUGUGUUAGAAGCACAUGCUUGAUUUGCUUUCUCUUUAUUUCUUGCACCAAUUAUCUCAAGGACUAACAUUCCAUAGCUAUACGCAUCUGAUUUGUCCGACACAUUCCCAUAAACUCUCGAGAUCAUCUCUGGUGCAAUGUACCCUACUGUACCUCUUGUGUCAAGCAUAGACAAGAUGCUCUCUUUCUCCUCACAGAGCUUAGCGAGACCAAAUUCCGAAACUUUGGGACAAAAACUGUCAUCCAAGAGUACGUUUUGUGGUUUAAUGUCGAAAUGUACUAUCCUUGUUUUGCAGCUAAACUGUCAUCUCAUCUCUGUGUGUAUCUCGUCAAAUCUUUAGAGGCAAAUAAUUUGUUUUUCACCUGGCGAGUCUUUGUGACAGCCGUUCUGUUUCAUUCCAUGAUACGAUUAUUGGUGUUUUCUCAAUUCAAAAAGACUAUUGGUGUUUUUCUCAUUAAGUGGUUUGGUGUUUUCCUUUGAUGUUAAGGGUAUAUCAUCAACCAACAUCAUCAUGACCCUUACGUCUACAAUGUGAACAUACUCUGUCUCUGUUUUCUUCUCAUGCACAAGAAGGUGAAGUUUUCACCGCAUAGCUCACUACUUCUGGAAUACUCUCCUGCGAUUUAUUCUCGGUCUUGACAGUCUCUUCGCGUUGCAGAAUGUUGUUAGUCGAGUUUAACGUCGGCAAAGUUAUCACGGGAGAGAAGUACAAAUCUGAACGUUGCCAAGAUAAAUUCAUCGAGUCCAAACUGAAACAGAGUCUCACACCUGACAAACCCUUGUUUACUUGAAGCACAAGGAAGCUAAGGAGAAAGUUUUUUUACUACAAACAGAGUUUUUUUCACACCUGAUAAGAACUACAAAGUUUUUUUAUUUUGUUUUCUAUUGUAGGACGAUCUCAAAGUGAGACACUUAAACAUUUUCUCAGACGGACCCUACUGAAAAUAACAUCCCAACUUAAGAUCCAUUUUUUACAAUAUUUGACUUGACUUUACCAGCGGUAAGUGAUCCGUAAUGAACAUAUUACAGAGAUAUGGAGUGUGGAAAAAGACCAUUUCAUGUAUCUGUCAGUCACUUAUGCUUCCUUGAAUUGGUCCAACACUGAUGCCCUAUUUUUAUUCAACACAGAGGAAAAGAUUCAUGAAGAAACUAUAUCGCAACUUUUGAGUUGGGUUAUUGUAUAUUAAAACAUAUAUGUGUUCUAUUUGUUAUGCAAAUAACAUAUGACCUUCACGACGAUUUUCUAUUCACAAACUUGAAGAUUCCAGCUUUGAGUUUGUGGAGAAAACCAGUAUAUCAGAGGCACUUGAACUCUCCUCUGAAUUCCAAAAAGAGUCGGAAACCGACGAAGCUGAAAUUUGCUGCAAAACAGGUCUAGGUGGCACUUCAAGAGCAUCCAAGCUUCCUUCCAUCAUCUCUACAACUUUGUUCAUCGGUGGACGAUCUGAUGGGGAAGACUGAAUACACCACAAACCCACCAAUGUCAUCUUCCUUGCUAUCUCCUCUUCCUCGCUGCUGAUUCCAUUCUCGAUAAGCCCUCCAUUUUCUGUCUUCUCGAUAUCCUUAAUGUUGGCCUUCUCAAGAUCCUUAUAGAUCCAUUCUGGAAAAUAUAUUGAGCUUCCGUCGGAUCGAGAGUUUUGAUCAAAUCGUUCUUUCUUCCUUGCACCUAUCAUUUCGAGUACCAACAUUCCGUAGCUAUACACAUCCGACUUAUGAGAAACACUCCCAUAAAGUCGAGAGAUCAUCUCUGGUGCAAUGUAUCCUAUUGUACCCCUUGUAUCCAACAAUGAUAAAAUGCUCUCCUUCUUCUCGCAGAGCUUAGCAAGUCCGAAAUCAGAAACUUUAGGGCAAAGAUUAUCAUCUAACAGCACGUUCUGAGGUUUAAUGUCGAAAUGCACGAUCCUCGUUUUGCAUCCAUAGUGCAAGUACUCUAGACCACGAGCAACUCCUAGUGCGAUCCCAUACAGUGUCUUCAAGUCUAAAUUCACCGAGCUCUUGUCCGAUAUGAAUUUAUCGAGUGACCCAUUACCCAAAAAUUCAUAUAUAAUUGCUCUUCUUGAACCUUCACAGCAGAAUCCAAGCAGUGAAACAAUGUUGACAUGAGAAGUUUGGCUCAUGCUGGCAACUUCAUUAAUGAAGUCUUCACCAUCAGUACCCUUUGAAUCUUUCAAGACCUUUACCGCAACCAUACUGCUAUCACUAAGGGUUCCGCUAUAAACAAUUCCAAACCCGCCUCUCCCAACCACCUCCGUGAAUGACUUUGUCAUUUUCUUCACUUCCGCAUAAGUGUAGUGUUUGAGUGGAAUCAGAGCCUUCAGCUUCUGUAGUCUCACUUCAUCUGAUGUUUUUCUCUUUCGGAAAAUUUGGACUCUGAAGCAAGGGCAUAGUAGCACUAGAAAAACUAUAACAACACCUGUUAAUGCACCCAGAGCUGUAAAAAAAAACAUAGAAAAUCUUCUAUUAUAUAUUAACACUUAAAAAUCAAGGAAGAUCGAAAGGAAUUGGAAAUAUGCACCACACUAACCUAUAAAAGUAUACCUGACCAGAGUCGCUGUAAACCAUUAAAAUAAAUAAAAAUUGUUAGCAUAGAACCAAAUUUAAUCUUGAAAAGGAACAAUUAACUCAGAGAAAACAAUGGUUAAGGGUAUUAGAGAUAUUGUCUCACAUCGAAAGUUGAAUAGGGUCUUAAGUGGUAUAUAUAAGAUAUGGGUCUCUUCACCUAUUACCAAUUGAUUUUAGGCUGGAAGCCCACAAUCUAAUAAAAGGGAAGAUAACCAAAAGGAAAGUUUAACUCGAUGAAUGCUUACGCACCAAUAAACCGUCGAUGCCGACGAAAAAAUCCAUCUAUAAAAUGGCACAAGAAAGAAACCUUGGUUAGAGCUGAAGACUGAUUAACUUUGAACUUUGAAAAAAAGUUUCCGCGGCCGCAAUCUUACCAUCGUAUUCGUAUCCGCAUUUACCAUCUUUACAAUAGCACCCGAACCCACUUGAAGUCUGAUUAUAUCCACAAGCACCGCCAGAACCUCGGCACCUCUCACAAUCUGAUGUAAUCAACAUCCGAAAACCUUGAUCAAGAGCCAUCUUCAGAUUAUCUUGAUUUGGCCUUGUCUGGAGAUCGAAUAACGCGGGUCCAGACGCAGGAACACUGACGUUUCUUUUGCACAUUUCCCUCAAGUUGUUCAAAACGCCUCUAGAACUGUCAAGUAAAGGAGAGGACAGGUUUCUCGUGACAUAGUAACUUCUUCCCUCAUCACAACCAAGCUCUCCAACGUAAAUGUUAGCAGGAAUAUCCGAUGAAUUGAAACGGCAGCCGUAGUAUAAAGUUAGAAGCUCUGUCUCACCAGUGAGUUCGAGGACUGGAAGGAAUUUUUCGAUGAAUGGCGCAGUUAGUGGGUUUGCGGGACACAAAUCGCCAAUAUAAUCUGAUCUUGCAAGUCUUAUUAAAGAGCGAUAUGAGUCUAGGAUUCUGAAUUUAACAGAGGCGAUGUUAAUCUCUGCGAAUCCUCCGCUACAGUUGAGCUUGAAGUUGGGGUGGCCACAUUCUUCUCUGCCAGGUUUCCAUAAGGGGUAAUUGAGAUCUCUCUGACUGCCACAGCUAAAACUUUCACUGCAUCGUCUAUAAACCUCAUCAGCUGAAAAAAAAAGAACAAAAUGGGAUCACAAAAAGCAUCUAAGAGAAAUAGACAGAUUGAUCAUUGUGUUUUCAUAAUGAGCAAAGUGGCAAGGAACAGAAAAAAAAAAACUUAGGUCAUGAAUCUUUGAGAUUUUUUAAAUGGUUUUUGGAUUUUAGAUUUUGGUUUUUGGAUUUGAAAAAUCUUAGUAUAUAAUAUGGAAAGGAAACUACGUAAUUAAAUGGUUUUUGAAAAACAAUGGUCAAUCUGCACGCAAAAACUUACCACUAUGUUGAUAUGGUACGCAACUAACUCCUCCUGACGGUGAGGUUGCGUUACAGCAACUCUGUGUGGUACCGUUGAAACUACAGAUUCCACGAGUGGAUGAACAUUGUUGACACGGUAUUUCAUCAAUCACCAGCUUCACCUCAAAACCUUUUCUUAGAGCACUUUCCAAAUUAGUCAAAUUCAACCCUCUCUCUUCUGGAUGGAAACUCGUUGGAACGUUAACUGUGAAACUGUUUUGGCAAGAAUAUUGGUAAUCAACGCUUUGAGACAUUGAAAAAGUACCUAGAGCAGGACAUGUAUAACUCGAGCGGUAAGAAAGCUUUGGAUCACAAUGGUACAAUACGGUUAGGCUCUUGUAAGUUGGGGAAAGCUCAAAGAUUUCGGGAGGCAAGGUUGUGGUAUUGUAUGCAUAGGAGGAGCAAAAAGAACCUAGAAGGUCUGAUCUGGCAAGCGUAAGAGUGUUAGAUGUUUGAUUUAUCUGACGAACAUAGAACUCUUGAUUUGAGAUGUAUAAAGAGGUGAUAUUGUUAUUGUUGCAGUGAAGCUCCAGCAACGGAUGACCGCAAGGUUUGUGACGAUUCCCGCCCCAAAAGGGGAAAUCAGCGGUGAUGUUCCCACACUGAAACAGAGACUCACACCACCCAAGUCCUUGGUUACUUGAAGCACAAGGAAGAUGGUGGAAUAGGGAGAAGAGGAAGAACAAGAUCGAAUAAGAACUGAGGGAAUGGUAGUACAUGAUUUGUUUGAUCAAUGAACAGUGUGUCUGCUGGGUUUGAUUUGUGUUGAGAACAGAUGAGCAAGCGACUUAAAGAGAGACCGUGAGAGAGAGAAAGAAGCAUAAAGACCAAGUCAAGGUGAAAUAGUGGACAAAUACAUAAAGACACUAAAUCUUUUUUGAUUAAAUGGCUUUAUUAAUUAGUUUAAUCAGAAAACGAAAUUGAGACAAACAAAGAAUGGUCAUUGGGUGACGAAGAAGAAGAAAAGUAACAAAAUAAACGUGGUCAUUUGAUAAAUCAACAAAGAUAAACAUUUGUUUAUAUCAUCUAAAUGUCUUUUUGUAAGAAUUUGGAAAACCUAUACCAUACAUUUAUAUUUGUUUGUCUUCAUCCUUUUAACGACCAUAGGGAAUUUAGAAGACUUGAAAAUUCAACUACUUAAUUACCUUUUCACCGGCAACGUCGAAAACAUAAGUUAAAACUCUCAAGUUAUUCACACAAAAUAUGUAUUAUAUGGAUGUCUAUUAUGGGCCCAUUAGGAUAUUCUAGAGGUUUCUACAUUACUUGGGUUCUAAUCUAAACCUUAAGUUGUAUCUCAUAUAUUUCUCCUUAUUACUUACUCAUGAAUAAUAUAUAAGAACAAUCCUUAAACUUAAUUGUUCUACAACACGUUAUCAGAAGCCCUAGCCAACCAAGUUAACACAAAACUUUGCCGUCGUCCAUCUCCGAUCUCACCGUUUCCUAUUCUCUCCCACGUCGAGUAAGUUACCUCAUAUUUAUCAGCAUUCGGUUCAUCAUACUUUAAUAGUCGUGAUUAAAUAUUGCAUCAUAUGACUUGUCUGGUUUAUAUUUUAGUAUCGAUUGUUUAUUUAAUCAUAUCGUUGAAUGAGAUACUGUUGUUUAAUGCUUGAAUAUCAUUACGCGUUAUUGAUUCAUCAGAGUUUCAUAAAAUAUAUUGUUUCAUUACUAAAAGCAUCUAAGUCUAUGUUUUUUUGGUCAAUAAAGUCAUGCUUGUGUACUUAAUUCUCAUAAGGAAACAAUAUUACUUUACACGUUUGAUUCAUAGUCUUAUUAUAUUGUGGGGUCAUACACAAACGUUUAAAUAUUGAGCUUAUUCUUAAUUGAUGAUGAUGGAGCAUAGAUCUAGUAUAUUGAAACUGUUAUCUAAUUCAUCACUUAUAGCUUUAUCACUUAUAAAUAUACAUUUGCAUAAUUGAUUCUCUGUUAUAUACUCUUACAUACUUCAAUACAAGAAGCUCGUUUUGAUGCACAAUUGAUUAAUAUACUUUAUUAUUGAUGGGACAUUAUCACGUCCAAGUCAUCGUUCUAAUAUCUAUACUACUUUAUAAUUGAGUUCGUUAAAUUCUCUGUUUUGAAAACAUUAAAUCCAUACUUUAGUUUACCUUCUUUGUUUUGGUAUAGUCGAGAGUUGUGUUUUGGUACAUUGAGCUUGUGUUAGAUACAGAGACUUCUAUGGAUGUUUUGUUCCUUGCUCCUAGCAUCUCAAGAACUAACAUCCCAUAGCUAUACACAUCUCAUUUGUGGGAGACUCUCCGAUACAUUCUUGAAAACACUUCAGGUGCAAUGUAACAUAUCGUCCUCCUGUGUCUAGUAGUGACAAGAUGCUUUCUUUCUUCUCACAGAGUUUAGCGAGGCCAAAGUCUGAAACUUUGAGGCAAAGAUUGUCAUCUAACAAAACAUUCUGUGGUUUUAUGUCGAAAUGCACAAUCCUUGCUCUGCACCCAUUGUGCAAAUACUCCAGACCACGAGCAACGCCUAGAGCAAUUCCAUAAAGUGCGCUCUGGUCCAUAUUCGAUGACUUUUUGCUUGAGAUAAAUUUAUCCAAUGAUCCAUUCUCCAAAAACUCAUAUAUAAUUGCUCUUUUGGAACCUUCAUAACAAAAUCCAAGCAGGCUAACAAUGUUUACAUGAGAUGUUCUGCUCAUACUCGCAACUUCAUAUCUGAAAAGACUAUACACAAAAGUUUCCUCUAUACACAACCCCAAAUCCUCCUUUCCCAACUUCAUAUCUGAAAGACUUUGUCAUUUUCUUUACUUGUGCAUAACUAUAACGUUUCAGUGGUAUAAGUGCUUCGAGGUUUGUCUUUCUUACACAACAUGUUUUCACUUUCUGUAACAUCAGUGCUAUGAUUACCAAAACAAUCACAAGUCCUCCUCCCAUUGCACCUAAAAUAACAAGAAAACUAGUGAGUUACGAAUUCUCUAUCACGCAAAGUCCACUCUUUGAGAGUCUCUGAGAAGGAAACUAACCAAUGAUAAUCUUUUUUUUUUGCUAAACUGUUAAUAUAUCAUAUAUAAUGAAAAGUUUGGCAGUUACAAAGAAAAGCCUAAGCUUUGAAAACUUGGCAAAAAGAAUAAAAACAAGCUUUCAAGAUUGGGAAGACACAUAAAGUGAAGUCAUGAUAUCCAGAGUUGCAUUAGGUGGCGAAACCUCUUGCGAUGUUGCCUCGCUGUGAUGAUGUUUUUGAUCUCUCUGUUGAUGAGCUUGAAAACAGUGACAUUUGAGAUGAUUAACUGAUUAUGAAUGACAUUGUUUCGCUGCUUCCAAAUGUGAUAUAUUGAGGUUUGGGCUGCGACUUUCCUGAGAGUUGACGGAGCCGAAACAGAGGAGGCACGAAGCCAAGAAAGGAGCUCCGCCCACGAGACGAAUAAGGACCUAUUUGGAUCGAUACGCGCAAGGAUUUGAAGCCACAAUUGCGCAGAAUAAGUGCAAGUGAGGAACAGAUGAUCUCUGGACUCUACAGCCAAGGAGCAAAGAGAGCAGUACCAAUGAUAAUCUUGAUCAUAAUAUUACGACUCCUGACUCUUCUAAUUGAACCUACAGUACGUUACGAGUUUUCUUUAAUACCUUUUUCUCUACUAUGUUUAUUUUCGGUUGUUAAUUUCUCAGAGUUUUACACUUUGUAUAACAGAGAUAUACUUGGAAGGUUUUAAAGAUAACUACAGAGUUGUUUAAAAUUCUCUAUCCACUAUAUGAAGAAUUUACUUCAAGAGGUCAAUAUAGACUGUUGCUACUCACCUUCGUCGGAGCACGAAAAAUUAUGAGGUAAUGUUAAGUUUUCAAUAUCGAUACACCGAUUCCUUAACCAAACCGGUACACACUAACACACCAUACAAGAGAGAGACUAGCACAUCACUAGCUCAGCUCUCAAUACACCAUACGAGAGAGACUAGCACAUCACUAGCUCUGCUCUUAAGUCUCUCAUACCAUUCAACAACAAACAACAUAAACCUCUCUAAACAUUCAGAGCCAUUAUUUAUACUAGAACUCAGUUUGUUCAUGAUAUUUUUAGAUCCUAAAAAUAUCUUCUUCUUCAAGCAAGUUUCUUCUCACGUGCCUCCUCACUUGCACGUGUCUUCUUUUGCUUUCUCUCAUUCACAUUCUUCUUGAUACAUCAAUCGUAUCAAUACUCCCCCCAUUUAGACAAGCUUGUCCUCAAGCUUAGUAAAAGAAAGAAAGAAACUACCAGCUUCUGAAUUAUUUGUGUUGCUUCUGAGUUCUGAUAUGCAGCCAUGUCUCUCUUGUCUACUUUCUGUUUGUACUUGAAUUUCCAUGCUUUGAGAAACUUCCUUUUCUUAAUAUUGUGCAAACUCAUCGAUUGGUCCUUCUUUAAUUUGUGUGUAAGCCUGUGACAACUCUCAAAAACACAUAUAGCACACCCGCUGGAGAAUAGCACAAUCAUCAUACCCGUUAGAGUCAUGCAAGUAAACAGCCUCAUACACAAGAUCAUCACUUUCUCAUAUUGUUGUAAUCCAAUUGCCUCUGAAAAUAUCGAUGUUGCUGCUGCAUCAAUAACUUUAUCACUACUGGCGCCAUUAACUGUCACUAAAGGUCCAUGAGAAAAUCCCAAGAAGCUGAUCACUUCGCUGGAAUGAGAAUGCACCAAACCCCAACUUAGAAAUUCUGAAAUUUCCUGCAAUGUCUCAACUUUGGUUUUCCAACGAUGCCACAAAUGAGAAUCAGUGUUGUUUGCCUCAUGGACAAGACAAUGCCAUGGCCUUUGAGUUUUGUAGAUCCCGGUAUGGAGAUUCUGCAUUCUCACUUUGUAAUGUUUAUAUAUAAAGUGCCAAGACUUGCUACACUUCCUCUUCAGUGCUGAAUUCAUCAAAGUGGCAUCAUCCAAUCUUAGCAACUGUGCAGAAUCUAUCGUAGCAAAAUUAGCUUCCCCUAACCUCCGAAGAUCAGAUUGCAACGCUACCAUAUCUUCAUCACCAAGUGUUUCAACAAUUGGUAAUGCAGGCUGUAACUCCUCGGAAGAUAUAGAUUCUAACUUCUUAAGAUCCCGUGACAUGUGUGCUUGCUUCUUUAGUCUCAGGCUCUGAAAUGAUUUGUUCUUCCUCACCAAUCCAACGUUAGCACUAAAACAAAGAUACAUGUAAUGGAUAUUGCUGAAUUCAAUGGCUUGACAUGGAUCCAUUUUUGACCUAUUUUGCUGUAAAUUCCUGUUUUUGAACUUAAACAUCCAAUUUUUAGGAGACAAACUCAACUUCCUCCUCUGUUUUAGGUUGUGACUUCGAAUGAGAAUUUUGUCGAGCACCUUGUAGGCACCAAACUUCAGCUUACUAUCAGAUGAAUUGUUGGCUUCAUUGUCCUUUGAUUUGUCGUCAAAGAACCAUGUUCCCUCCUGGAAUUCGCCAACUACUAUAGUGGCAACAUUCUGAAACCGUGGAAACGAUUUCUUUUGGGUAAUCAAAACAAUCUCCGGAUUUGAUUUCUUUCUCACACUUGAUUCAUCUUCCUCAAUCAAUUCUUCUGUACAUCUUGAUUCAGUUUCAUGAGCAACCACAUGAAUCAAUGUCGUCGGCAUAAGAACCUCAGGGGAAGAAUGAAUUUUAACUGGAUCAAAUCGAGCCAACAACCUUUGCUCAAAGGAAUUCCAAUCUCUAAACUCCAAUGUCGACAUCUCCCGAAGAAACCAUUUCAACGCAACUCCUUCUAAACUCAACGCUACCAAAUCCAACUUAUCUGAAUCCUGAUACCUCCCUACACGAAAAAAACGUUCUACCUUCGAGAACCAUUCAUACACUCCCGAUCCAUCAAAUACAGGCAUCUCUAUGCGUCUGAUCAAGCUAGAUCUAUUAUCCAACAAGAUCGGAGACUCACCAGCACCGCGUUGAGGCAUAGAGGAAGAAAACGAGUGACGUGGUGACUGACAAGAGUGCUCACCUUGCUCCACCCGUUUACCUUCGCGGAUCUCCAUCCUCUCCAACGUUGCAACCACCUGUCGUAACACGCUAUCCAUAGAUUCAAGCUUCUCUUCAUGUUGAACCUUAUCAGCACACAGACGCUUGAAACCUCCGAACAACACCUUCAUGUUACGCUCUGUUUCAUCGCCGUGACAGUUCUCCGACUCAAACACCUCCGAUUCAUCACCCAAGGCCAUUGCGACUUAAAUCGACCAGUUUCACCGCACCAAUGUUAAGUUUUCAAUAUCGAUACCACCGAUUCCUUAACCAAACCGGUACACACUAACACACCAUACAAGAGAGAGACUAGCACAUCACUAGCUCAGCUCUCAAUACACCAUACGAGAGAGACUAGCACAUCACUAGCUCUGCUCUUAAGUCUCUCAUACCAUUCAACAACAAACAACAUAAACCUCUCUAAACAUUCAGAGCCAUUAUUUAUACUAGAACUCAGUUUGUUCAUGAUAUUUUUAGAUCCUAAAAAUAUCUUCUUCUUCAAGCAAGUUUCUUCUCACGUGCCUCCUCACUUGCACGUGUCUUCUUUUGCUUUCUCUCAUUCACAUUCUUCUUGAUACAUCAAUCGUAUCAGUUUGUCAUAGCAGAGACACUGAAAACUGCCAGAUACUGGCUCGGAACCGCAUACUCCAUGACUAUUUGAACAACCUCUGCAAGAUUGAUCGUCUCUGAUGUUGAACCUUAGAUCAAACCCCUUAACCAAAGCUUCUUUCAAUUUAAGCCUUGACCGCUGAAACUCAUCCAGAAGAGAACUAAGAACUGGAUAUUCUCCCAUCUUUACGCAGUCCGUAACAGAAUCUGAGGGCUUAAACGCGUAAUAUGUUACAAUUUCCCCGUUGCUUUUUCUGCAAGUAAACGCCGAAAGCGGACUUACCAUCUGAGAAGCAGGACAAAUGAAUAGGUCAAUCUUCUCCACUGUAGGAGCGAUUGUGAACUGAUUGGCCCCGGUGAAGUUCAGGGACAUGCUUGGGCAUCGACCCUCGAAUAAACUCUCAUCGACAACGGUUAAAGUUUGAUUCUCCAAAUCAAAAGAGAUUACUUGAAGAGAAAGGUUUGUGAGAACUAAAGUUAGGUUUUGGUUGUUCUUGCAAGUGAGUUGAAACUCUGUUUGGCCGCAAUAAUUGGGUUUAUUGACUCCCCAGAAAGGAUACGUCACGUUUGGCAACAGCCUCGGACCUGCGUACUAAUACGAGAAUUGGGCAAUAAUAAGAGCAGACUAAAAAUGAUAUGGACUUUAUCUAGCAUGGAUUUAAUAAGAGAUUGACAAAAAAAGAUCCAGAGUCAAUCUAAUUGUAGUAGGGCUAUUUUUCUUUUCUUUUUUUUGUCAUACUCAUAUAUAUUGGGUUUCUAAUUUUCAACAAAUGCGUUGAGAAGAAUAGUUCCACAAAUAUUGUUAGUCCAAAUUUUAGGUGUCAGUAUCAACAAUAAACUUUCUUUUUAACUAAUAAAUCCAAGCUAGAGUGAAGAAAUAUCCAUUUUGAUAUUGGAAAUUCAUGAAUUUCAAGGUAGAGGAGAGAAACCAUAAGCAUAUAUAAGUUAACAAUUCAAACUAAAAAGGCUUUAACUUUGCAUUUUUCUAAGAUAGGUAAUCUAAUAAUAAACCUUCUAGCUUGAUAAUUUGAUCACUCAUAUUCUGUACGUGACUUAUACACUUUGAUUUGAUCACUAAGAACUGAAUAUCAGAGAACAAUUACAUGUCAUGCACUAUAUACAUGUUCUGAGUUCGAGAAGAGUUUUGGACCAAAAAUCUGAAAACAGGCCUUCAAAUAAAAUCAAAAUAAUUGCAAAGAUAUUUGUAAAAAUUAAGAUGCUUCUGCAGUGUAGACAAAAAGUGAACAUAAUGGAUGAAAUAAUUAGAGACUAAUGAAGUGUUUGCCUAGAAUAUGAACACCUUUCUUCUCUACUUGAAAUACGUACCUUAGCGAAAGAGACAUAAACAACAAUAAACUUUAAAGUAAAAGAAACCAAAUAUUGAGACAAAAUCUUGUUAGAGUGUAGAUUAGGUAAGAGAUUAUACUACAAGAAGCCAAAUAAGACAUUGCAACGUAAAAGGUCCUGAUAUUUGUUAAUUUCACCACUAUCACAUUCUUUUCCAUGUAUGUACGUUGAACUAAUUUAUAAAUUUCCGACGAUAAAAAUGUUUACUGUAAUUUCAUAAUUUGCGUGAUACAUGAGCAGUAAACUUUAAGUGAAAUUAGUUAAAAUCUAUUGACUAUAUAUUGUCAAUCUGUCAUAUACUCGCAAGUAGCAAAAAUAUAUUUGUGACAAAUUAAUAGCAAACUGAAUUACCAUUUCAUCGCUAACCUAUUGAAAUUAGCUACGAAAAUUUAUCACUACGUAUGUUUUAUUUAUUUUUUUGCGUUUUAACGAUUGUUAACCCCUAUCAAAACGUGGUUGCAUGAGAACCAUCAAAGUCUAAUAUAAUAUUUGGCACAUUUUUAGAAUUCAAAAUAACCAAAAACCGAAAAACCAAACUCCCAUUAGUAAUAUUCAAUACUCCCUCCAUUUCAUGAAGAUAGACUUUUAAGGUUUUGUUCACAUAUUGAUAAACUUUUGCAAAACCUAAUAUACAUUUAUCUAUAUUAAAUAUUAAUUGUUACUUGAUUUAACUCUAGGUAAUAAUUAAGGGUAAAAUCAGAAAUGUUACAUAAGUUUGCAUAGGAAAUACAAAACAUCUAUAUCUUGAUGAAUAUUUUUUCUUAAAUCUCUAUUUAUUUGAACAGGGAGCAUAAUAUAGUGACCAUGAAAUUAAAUAGAUAAGAAAAGAAAAACAAAAUAAGGUAGUUCAGGUGAAUCAAUUAAUGUAUUGAAGGUGUAAAGGAAAGAAAAUGAUUUAGGUUAAUUCAAUUGUCAACGAAACACAAACUCGCAAAGUGUGAAGAAGACAAAGAUGGUGACAAGUAAAGUUUCCAAAUAUCCUAAGAGCAAAGGUCAUGCAUGAGUUCAGGGGGGUAAGGAAGUAUAAGCUUAGUUAAUUAAUCAACUAUUUUACUUAAAUUUCAAAGGGUUUAAUCAAUAUAAAGUAAUAAUAAUAGCAAUUAAAAAGGUUUAAUGAUCAAAUCAGGUUUGUAGUUAGUAAGAUUCGGGAAGAUCUUGCCAUGUCUAAACAAAUACUUAAUUUCAACGUCAAUCACGCCAACACUUUAAACUUGAUGUUAAUCUAUAGUUUAUUAAAGUAUUAUUGGUGGGACCUUAAUUAUAACCUGAUUAAUCAUACACAAAUGCAUAGAUCAUUAUAUUAAGUGGGUAGAUCAAAGAUCUAUUCAAUCAAAUUGUAAUCUAAUAAUUAUUUGUACAAACUAAAAACCAUAUGGUAAGAGAAAAUUCCUUUAUGUCCAAUCAACUAAUUGAAUGGUUCAAAAUACUUCAAAUCCCGUGACAUAGUUGAAAACUUAAACAAUGAUGGGAUUAUGUAUAUGCUUAUCUAUACUUAAAACUAUAUAAUAUACGAUCAAUGCCUUACGAGGUAUGUAGACCUUCCUAGCUUUUAUAUUAUUCUUGUGUUUAUUAUGUGGUACACGUACACAUAUGUAUAUACCAAAUUUUAAGAAUUAUUAAAGAUGUAUUAAAGAACCAUAAAACUCGGAAACUUAACCAUUAACCCUAUUGUAAACUAUGUGGAUGCAUGCCAUAAGCACUCCAUAACAAAGUGAGUGGACCAACCUAGACUCCAUAAUUAUUUUAAAUCUCAUCUUAAUUAUAUAAAUAUAUGCACAUGCAAACUCAAGCUUGAUCUCAUUUUAAGUCUCUAAUCUCAUCUUUCCAUUUUCAAGAAGACUUUUAAAUCUGUCUCUCUCUCUCUCUUUGUAAAUAUACAUAUAUAGAUAAGCUCACAUAUAUGGCGACUGAAACAUCUUCUUUGAAGCUCUUCGGUAUAAACCUACUUGAAACGACGUCGGUUCAAAACCAGUCAUCGGAACCAAGACCCGGAUCCGGAUCAGGAUCCGAGUCACGUAAGUACGAGUGUCAAUACUGUUGUAGAGAGUUUGCUAACUCUCAAGCUCUUGGUGGUCACCAAAACGCUCACAAGAAAGAGCGUCAGCUUCUUAAACGUGCACAGAUGUUAGCUACUCGUGGUUUGCCACGUCAUCAUAAUUUUCACCCUCAUACCAAUCCGCUUCUCUCCGCCUUCGCGCCGCUGCCUCACCUCCUCUCUCAGCCGCAUCCUCCGCCGCAUAUGAUGCUCUCUCCUUCUUCUUCGAGUUCUAAGUGGCUUUACGGUGAACACAUGUCGUCACAAAACGCCGUUGGGUACUUUCAUGGUGGAAGGGGACUUUACGGAGGUGGCAUGGAGUCUAUGGCCGGAGAAGUAAAGACUCAUGGUGGUUCUUUGCCGGAGAUGAGGAGGUUCGCCGGAGAUAGUGAUCGGAGUAGCGGAAUUAAGUUAGAGAAUGGUAUUGGGCUGGACCUCCAUUUAAGCCUUGGGCCAUGAAUGAUUAUAAUUUUGGCCCAGUAAAGAUCUGUAAAAUACUACUAGGAUUUCAUUUUUAUAGAGUAUGUUUUUUUCCUUAAUUUCGGUUGAAAUUGGUGAAUAUUUUUAUCUCUUACUUACCAAAUCUCAUAUUUCUAUGUAUGCGUUUGCUUUCACUUUUUUUUUUUAUAUAAUUCUUCUUGUAAAAAAUGCAAUGUGAGUUUUCUUCCCUAUCAUUCUGUCAAGCUUUGGUUCAAUUAUUUAGUAAUCGAAUAAUAUAGGAAUAGUGUUGAAAGAAGUUGAUUAGCUAGUUUCUGAGAUGCAUACCAAGUCGAUUUCAGUUUUCAAUAGGAACUGGAAGAUAUCAUUACAUGUUGUUAAGGAAAAUAUAAGCAGUAUUAAAAUUACAUGUAGGACAUAUGCUAAAUGAUCAAAUAUACUUGAAAAGAGAUUAUAUAUCUCUUGGCAGUGAGCAAAAGUUGUUUUGCAUCAGCAUUAUUAUUGUUUUCAAUCAAACAGCAAGCAGUAUUAUAAGCCAAUGCUUGAGAAACAUAUCCAGCUGAAAUCAAUGCCGCCACUAAACUGACAUCUAACCACUCAAUCUUGGACUUGCUCAGUUUCUGAUACACAUCCACACAAGCAUCUGCUUUCUCCAAACUGUUUGAUGCUUUGUAAGUUCAAAAGUUAAACCAAAUUUGUAUUUAGUGGAAUUUUUGGUUUAGUCGGUGAAUUUGUUUACUACUGAUUGUCUAAUAAGCGAAGGAGGAUGAAUAAACCAAUAUGCAAAUUCUCUCUUUAACCGGUUUGGUCAACGGUGAAUAAAAUAAGACCGUUAAGAAGGGUAAAAGCGUAAAUACAACAAAAUAUUUAGGAGCCUCUCUUCUUCUCUUUGUGACCGUUACGAAUCCAAAAAACAAAAUUGCAAACUUUGUGAGGAAGAAGAAGACGACACAGUAAUGAAGGAUACAAUCUCAAACCCUAGUUUGGAAUCUCUGCUUUUUCCUGUUAAUCCAAUGUCAGAUACACAACAAAAACUCAAGCUUUUGGUUGAUAACGGUGAUUACGGAUUCGAGAGAGGAUCUAGAUAUGGAGAAUACGCGAGAUUACGAGAAUCAAAACUUCGUAUGAAACGAGACUUCGAGAAGAUUCUAAAGGAAGAACAAGUGAGAUUUGGGUUCACCAGAGAAGAAGAAAUCAGGGUUUUGCCGGAGAAGAAGACGAGAUUCGGAUUUAACCCUAAUCAGAGGAAAACGUCGUCGUCUUCUUCUUCUUCGUUGGCUCAAUCUGUUCCUGAUUUCUCUUCUAUGAUUCGUAAAGAGAAUCGUCGACCACCAGUUAAUUCGAAUUUGCUUCCUCGGAGAACAGAACUUACUCCACCGUCGAUGAAGAGUAGAAACGCCGCCGUUUUCGCUGGAUCUGUGAUUAGAGGAAGUGUUUCAGCGAGUGCUGGUGAGAAGAAAGGUAUUGGGAUGAUGCGUAAAAGCUACGCUGCUGUUGAUGAUCUUAAGAAAAUAUCAAUGGCUGCUGCUUCCGCCAUAAACGGCGGUGGAGGAAAAAGGAGAUCAAUUGGCGGCGGAGGAGGAAGGAAAUCACUUGGCGGCGGUGGUGGUGGUCGGACUAUUCUAGGUUACAGACAAAUUUAUUGAUUCUUUUGUUCUUGUUUGUGUCCAAACUCUAACAUUUGUGUUCAAAGUUUGUUUUUUUGUGUGUUUAAUUGGUUUUGAUUGAUAAAGAUUAGUCCUUUUCAGAUUUUGGUUUUGUGAUUGAUAGAUUUUGUAUACAAGUAACGACUAAAACUUGCAUAGUUGUUAUCAGAAAGCUAAUAAACAUUAUAGUUGAAAUAGCAUAAGAAAUGGUGACAUUGAUUAGUUCUAAAAGAGAUUAGUUUUCACCAGUAAAGAUCGGUUGCUAACUCUCCGAUUAAACACCGAAGAAUCUCAUAAGCAAUCUCUGAACCAACUCCAAACAAAUGCGUUUCAAGAUCCAUUUCGAUACCGAUAACCUCAUCCAUAUUAACCCGAGCCCACUUUGGAACUUCUUCAAUAACACCUCGAAUCAGCUCGUCUUGUUUAGCAGUCAAUGGCUUUAACAAUCCGCAGGAAAUGUUUGUUUCUUCCAAGUGUUCGAUCAUGGCAUCUACUAGGAACCCUCCAGUUAGUCCAGGGAGAUUGACUAGAUUGUCAGAACGAGCUGCGUAGAUCAUGAGUUCGUCGAAGAGUUCUGGUCCAAUGAGGUAGUUCUCUUGUGUAGUAGUGGUACCAACUAAUAGCUCCGUGUGGAUAAUGACUUCUCUAGCAAUUGUGAAUCUCUGCUGCGUUAAUAUGAGACCGGUGUUGCUUAAACAUCGCAGGACGUUCGAGACAUGGCUGAUAAGACUUGCGAUCGCCUGAUAAUUACCAUCACUUGUUGAAUUCUUGAAUGAAGUCGCAUAAUCUUCAAGAAUGUCCCAAUCUGGUUCUAUAGGCUCUAGAGGUAGCCUCAUUUGUCCUGGAACUUUAAAACGUAACAUCAGUUUCAGGUUUCAGAUUUCAAGAACCGGUAUUUAUUUCAGAAAGUAAGUACCUGAGAUAUUGUCGAAGCUGUUCGAAAAGCAGCUCUCAUUGGAGAAAGAUGCAUCGAGUACAGAUCCCGGGCUAGUGUACUCACUGUUUGCAUUUCCAAUGGAACUCCAAAACUCUGUUUUGCCUUUUCUCUGCAAGAAUCAAGAAGCAUAAUGAAUAAAGAGAUGAAGAAAUACGUAAAUGUGAAGUCCUUGCAGAUUAUAAACGUACCCGAUAAGGCAUAUCGAUAUCUCGAACAUAAGGCUGCUGCUGCAAAGCUAAAGAAGAUAGCAAUUCAUGGAGAAUCAAAGAAGCUGGUUUAUUGGGAAAACCACUUUCUCCAUUGGCCUCAUCUUCUUCUUGAGAAGCCAAUUCUUUCAACUUUUGCUGAAUCAACCCGAGAGUGCCUACAUCAAGCAGUGGCCUUUUCGUAAAGGAUGGUCUGGGAACGCGUUGAACUCCUCUUCUCUCUUUGGUUUCUCUACAGCAUUGGCUAUAAUGUCUAUUAGAGGAACCAAGUUUCAGUGAUGAAAAUGCAGUUUCAUUACUACAAGCACAAGAGUAUUCACUAUCCAAUCUUCUUGACACUGGACUCAUAGAACUACUUCCUCGUCCAUGACCACUUUCACAAGCUAGCCUCCUCUUCCGUCCAGGUGUACUUAAUCCUGAUCUAUUACAAGACUCCUCAACUCUAGUAUGAGAUUUUCUCUGCAGAUUCAAAUCAGAGUUUUCAAAUUUAACCGGGGACUUCGAGUGAUGACUCCUACUAGUUGAACCUCUAUUCAUAGCUAUAAAGUCCUUCUCUUUACUGUUGAUAGCAUUAGCAGGUGAAGAACAACUUCUUUUACUCGGUAAGGCGAAAGAUCGAGCUUCCGGAGGAAACCUUUCCUCUCUAUGCAACACCUUCUUAUGAUAUUCGGAUCUGUUUCUAUAACCCGGCAGCGACAUUUCAUCCUUAAAUUGAGCACGGUGUAGAGCUUUCUUCACCAUUUGAUCAGUACUGUCUUUACCAGAAACAGACACAGAUGAAUCUUCAUUUCUCCAAAACACAUUUCUUUUACUCCGUUGAAAAGGCGUUGAUUCAGAAACACACGCCAUGUUGUUUCCAGUGUCUUGAACUACCUGAAUCGAACCAUUCACAUCAACCAAACUACCACAAGAUUUACAAGAAGCAACACUAUUGUUAUAACCACAUUGAAACUCGGGUGAAACAACCGGUUCUUUCGCAGCAUUUUCGAACCUUCUAAUCCCCGUAGAACCAGGAUAAGCAAUAGCGCCUUUCGCAUUUCUCUUCCCCGGCUCAAGAAUCCUAGCAGCAGCAUCAAUCAACCUAGAACUUCUUCUAUUCAUCCUCGGACUUCUAACAGGAGAAGCUAGUUUCUGAUGCUGAUGAUUAUACUGAUGAUGUUUCCUUACUCUAGUCAAAACAUUCUUAAUCUGCAACGCUUCAGAACCAAACUUCUUAACCGCAACACGCCUAUCACAAACUCCUGUCGUUCUCUGCAUCUUCUGUGGUCUUAACUUAUCAACACCACUAUCUUCUUCUUCUUCUUCCACAUCAAACAAGUCACAUUUAUCGGUAUCUUGAAUCUGCGAAAACAACGGUUUCUUCUUCUUGUUCUUCCCUUUGUCUCUAUGAUUAGAUGGCAUUGAUUCAAGUCCCAUUAAACGUGCUACUAAACUAGGAGAUCUCAUUUCAUGCUUUUUAACCUCCAUAACUUCAUUCCGAUUUGGGAAACUUCCUCUGUUCUCAUCAUCAAUCUAUUAAUUCAACACAAAAUACAGAAAAAAUUCAACAAUUACUCUAAUCAAAAACUAAAGAUAUAAACUUCUAACAAAAUGGAGACAUAAUCACCAGAUUAAGCUUAGACUUUAACAUCUUCUCAUUUCCUCCAAACCUCUUCGAAACUUGUUUCCCUGACAAUUCAUUCAUUACAGUCAAGCUCAACAACACUCACUUUCAGACAUAAAAUGAGGCAGAGACAGAGAUAGAGACAGAGACUAACCAGGAAGAAGUGAUUUGCGAGAAAAGAGUUUCUUUUUAGCAAAGCGUCGGUUCCAAUCAAAGAGCUGGAAGAAAACACCGACACAACCACCGAGUCGAUUUGGUCGUUUCUCUGUUAUAGCCGCACACGGCGCCGUCGUCUCCUGUAACUCUCCUGUCAUCACGAAACCCUAACAAACCCCACAAGUUUCAGAGAAAUCUCAAACACUGUAAAAAAGUCUCCUUUAGAGACACAUUGCCUCAAAUUCCAAAACUUUAUCACAUAAUCAAACAACCAGAGAAACAAAACUCUCUCUUUUUGAGUUCUCAGCUUUUGUGAAUUUGGGGAAUCUCUGAGAGAUGAAUGUACAACAAGAUUAGAAAAAAAGCUUAGUGAACACGAAUAAGGAAAGAAAGAAGACAGGUGGAGAAUCAAGAAAACGACAAUGGUACACAACAGUGGAAGAAGAAAGAAAGAAAGAAACAGAGCUUUUUAAGAAGAAUGGAAAAAGUUGAAGUGUCACGAAAUGAGAACUCAACGGGUAAUAUUCGCAAUUGGGAGUUUAAAAAAGUGAAAGGAGACAAAAGCAAAACGAUAGUGACGAGAAGUGAUUGAAAGAGAGAUGAUAAGAGAAGAAGAGAAAUCUUUUUUGUGUAAAAAUUAUUACUGUGAUUCUCUCUGUUGUCACUGACGGUGAAAGGGGCUCGAGAGAGAUUGUUAACAGAAGAAAGAGAAGCAUGCGCACAAAAGGUUAAGUAGCUGAUACAAGUAGACACUAGAGGGAAGAUAAAAAAGAGAAACAAAAAUGGAGAUUAAUUUUGAGAAAUAGAAGUAGUAUAUGUUUAGAGAGUAGAGAUUAGAAGAGUAAAAAUGUGGUUCCGGACAAUAAGGGUUAAAGGUUCGAGGUUUCUGUUUCUCUCGUUUUUGAGGAUUCCAGCUUCAUCUGUAGUCCGUUUCUCAGUUCCAACUUUGUAUUGGUUUUUGUUCCAAACUGAAAAAAAAAAAAAACUAAACUAAAGUGCAUUUUAACUUUUUAUAUGAUAUUAUGAUUUUUGUUGGCCAAUCAAUUAACGACAUGUGGACAAGUCAUGGAUUACAACUAUUUUGUGUCAAAAGAAAGGAAAAACAAGGCUAAACAACGACCUGGCCUUAUGGAUGAUGACCACAGUGAGAUGGGUUUGUGGUACUAGCUUGUCUCCUUGGGCAAUAACAAUAUAAUAUAGGGAUGAGCUAUAAUAAUUUUACAAAUGCAUGAAAUCAGAAUUUCUUUAUAGUCUAGAUUUAGAGUAUGUGAAAACAUGAUCAAUGGACCAUAGUAAUGGAUUUACGUCCAAUUGUUAUAAUGUUCAUGGACAUUAAUUUAUCAUUGUAUCAAAUAAUACUAGUACUCAAGGUGUGGAUUUACAAUUCACCAAUGAAUUAGACGAAGUUUCGACCGAUAUAUUGAAUAAACUAUAAUUUCUUGAAACGCUUUCAAAAGCUUCUCAAACUUUCAAUAAAUUUCUUAAAGUUUUCGUCAAGAACUGUCAUCUUGUUUUUAUAUGAAAAUGAAAGAAAUGGAAUCAUGUAUUCUCAGACAUUAUCUUGCAAAAUUACAAAUGGUUAUGAAAAAAAUAUCAUAAGUUUUAAUCUUUUUGCUAGUUUCUAGUCAUCCAUUAAGGGUAUUUUGUAAGCCAAAGUUAGGAUUUUUUUUUUUUCUUUUUGAAUGUAAGUUUUUACAAACGUUAUUGUUUGGGCAAUGAAAAAUUACCAAAAUGUUAUAUUAGCAAAUUGAAUACAAAAAUACUAUUAUUAGUUUUUACAAACGUCCUUUUAAUCUUAUAGUAUAUCGAUUAUCGAAUAAGCUCUAACUUUGAUCACGAUCUAUAUCCGACGUUGUUGCGACUUUGUGCUAGCACUAAUCAAGACUCAAGAGCUUCAUUGUUUGUAUAGUUUCUAGGGGAAAAAAAGUGAGAAAUUUUAAGGGUUGUAAUAAGACAGAAAAAGCAGAAGUUGCGUCUUUAUCCGAGUCUGACGAAUUCUGAAAUGUCACGGACAAUAACCCAUACACGCUACGAAUCUCAAGCAUUCCCCCACUUCUUUCUAUCUAAACACAGUACUACCAAUUAUUUUUCUUCUAGUAAUAUAUAGUAUACACACAUACUUCCAAAUAUAAAAAUAUUUGGUUAAGCCAAAUAUUGGAAAAAAUUUAGUAACAUACACUGUUUGAAAAUUCCCAACACGAAAUGAUGCUAAAGGAAACAAAAAAAGGAGGGAUCAAAUUUUGUCAAAAAAUGAAGAAAAUAGGAAACCCAGUUUUACUAUUUGCAAAAAGUAACAUUUUGACCAAGAUGAAAAAACAAAUAUUCCUGCUGCUUUCUCUAGAAUACUGUGGUUUGAUCAAAACAUCAUGCAGAAAGUUAAACAGUUUUGGAUGAUUUUCUUAUUGAAAUCUGUAUAUGUGGAUUUGAUGUAUUUUUAUUGCAUAAAUGAUAAGUAUAUUUAAUAUUUAUAUAUUACAAUUACAUGUUUCUAUGCUUAUGAAUGUGUUUCUGUAGCCUUGGGAUACAGUGUCUUCGGGUUAAACCGGUCGAGUUAUUGGGUUUUAAGAAAAUUCGGUUUAUAAAAAAACUCACUUCAAACCGCAAAAAUAACUCAAAUUAAUUUUAGUGUAUUAAACAAUCGUAUUUUCUAUAUUUAUACUUUUACUAAUUUACUCAUUAAUAGACCCAUGUAUUUCUAAUUUAUCUACACCAAUAUUCAACAGAUUAUAAAUUUGAAUUGAAUUUAUCAUUUUGAAAUCAAAUAAGUAGAUGAUAUUUUUCUUGAAUCUCGAACCGUAUCUAAGUUUACAAUGUUUGAAGUUGUUGUUGAUAUUAGUACUCCAGACUGGCUUGUUACGGUCAUUGACACAAAUAUUUUCAACACAUUUUGUAUUUUGCUAGUUUGUAAUACAUUAGUAGUAGUAUGUUUGAGUCAAGAAAAAAAUAUGAUUUCCGAAACGUACAAAUUUGACAACCUACUUUUUUCUUCCUCUUGCUACAUAUGCAAAAGAUCUUGGGCUUUGGUUUUGAACUAGCACUUUUCAAGCCCAUGCAAAAUACUUAUCAUUCAUCUAUAUGUUAUUUAUAAAAGAGAAAUAACAAAUAAAUUUGAUCUCAGUUAUUGCCAUGACAAUCUUAGCUUAAGAAUUACUUUAUCUGAAACUGUCAAAUAUUUAAGAUGAAUAAACAAAUAGCAUAAAACGAUUUUAUCAAUAACUAGAUUGGACCACAUGCUUUUUCCCAGUACGUGCCAUAUGAACAAUUCAAGGUUUCGACCAACCUAACAUUUCUUUUUGGCAUAACCAACCUAGCAUUUUUUUAAUAUUCAAAAGUAUGAUGUCUUUAGUGUUGCAUGAAUUUGAAUAAUAAAGGUUUAUAUAGUAUUAUGUAAUUAUUUCUGGUUUAGUUUGCACGUGGUUUUGGACUAAAUAUAUAAGCGGUUAAGUAUAUGUGCAUGCAUGAAUAUGUGUUAAUUAAUGAUAAUUGAACACAACUAGGCUCUCUAUAUUUGUUAUUUUGUUUUAUUCCUUGCAUGAUUGAGGUUUUAAUUAUUUCUUGAGUGCCGGCAAAAAAAAAAAAAAAAAUCUUGAGCAUAGUAACCAAACCAAACAAGGAUUAGCCGGAGCGAAGUCAAAUCGAAUUUCAGAAUUUAUGGAGUAAACCGAGGAUAAUACAAGAAGUGAGUAAUAAAACCAAACAUUUUAUAUACUAUACUAGUAGUGAGUAAUAAACCAAAAAAUAAUUUAAACUCGGAUGAUGACAGUAACGACACUAAUACUCAUGACCACUAUAAUAUAGUAUGUUUUGGCUACAAGUAAAUUUAGUUUUAAUGUGAGUUUAUAAGUAAACUUUAGUCUAGAGUGAGUGUUAAGGAAACUAACAUAAAUGGUUAUUUUCCAUACAUAUAAAUUAAAACAAACCUAAAAAAAAAUCAACAACCUUCAAACACUUUAACGUACUAAAUUGACAAUAUGUGGAUCUUACUAAAUUUCUUCUUUACCAAUCAAAUCAAUAUUUUAAGAGGUUAAUUUAAUCCCAAAGUAACAUAAGUUAGUAGCAAAUUUUUUCAUGCAUAUGAAUUUUGUUGAAAGGGACACAAAUAAAAUAACUAAUAGAGAUGUGUUUAUCUCAUUAAAAAAAAAAAAAAAUCUAAAAAGAAAAGGGAAAAUUAGUGACAACCAGAAGAGAAUAGGAUUAAAGUGUUUUUAGUGUCCUACAACCAUGUGGCGGUUGACAUCGUCCGGAUUAGAAUCGUCAUCCAUACUUCCUUGUCUUAAAAGUGAUCUAAUAACUGUUUCACAAUGAUAACUUCGUCUUCUUCUUUCUUUGUAUUAUAGGACAAUUGCGAAGAAAAUUUCCAACUUUGUAUAUAUCUCAAGAAUUAGUUUCGAUUUAUAGAAACAAAUUAAAAAGAGUAAAAGACUUUGAAGGGUGAAGUAUUUAAUAUCUGAUCAUCAUCGGUCAGCAGGCUAGAAAUAUAUUAUACUUUUUUUAUAAAAGGAAACUCAAACUUAUGUAAAUUAAUUUUGCAUAUAAACCCUUGCAUGUAGUGAUGUAACUAUGUAAGUAAGGUUUCAAUAAGAAUAAAUUUAGGUGAAUGUCUUAAAAAAAUGAGUUAUUUAAGAUCCUAUUAACUUGUCAGAAACUUAUUUUUUUCAAUCAUGCAAUACAACUAAUAAAGUUAUAAAGAAAAUAUGACUGGAACAUUAGAUAACUAUCAACUUUUUGAAUUAUUGCUAAAUGCUCUAUCCUUAAACAUGAAAAAAAGGAAAAUAAUUUGGGACUACAACUUGUUGAACUCAAUAAUUUGCCGUAUUUUUCCACCAUAUACGUACUUGUUGCAUUCUAGGCUUUCCUGCUUUGUGUUGUAUGAGCUUUUUAUUUUGUAUAUCUUCUAUUUUCCCAAUCGAAGCAGCAAAUUGCCUUCACAUACAUCAUAUCUCUAUCACAUACAUAAAAUUCAAUUUCAAGAGUUCAGAGAUUCAUAACUCAUGACGGAACAUAUUAGAAUUGGUGUUUCUAAAAUUGAGGUUUGUAGAAUUGUCCAUAAAAAUCAGCAAAAUAUCUUAACCUGCUACAAUAUAAUAAAACAGAUUAUGAUAAAUUAUAGUUAUUUAUAAAAAAAAAAAAAAAAGCAAAUUACUUGAUAAAAUGAAUAUAAAAAAGAUACACAUUUGUAUUUAAAACUAACAACUAAUAUGAGUAACUAUAGUAUCACAUUCAUAGGUCGAUCCGUUGUCUACACGCAUUUAGCCUUUGGAAACUCUAUCCACAUUUAGACUAACUUACGAAAUCAUUUUGUAUUUGCAUCUAAAUAAUACUCUCCAACCCUUCUUAUGACGAGAUGGUCUAUUUCAAAUUCGCGGAUUUUCGCCCGAACUAGCACACAUAUAUGAAUUCAAGCAAUGAGUCUCGUUGGGAAAUUUUAAAAAUGCUACCAUAAAGUGAAGGACUACGUACACCCUUUUUUCUUUAGACCAUCCAGCCCACAAACUUCCCUCCAACAUAAAAGCAUAUGGUAUAUCGUAUUGAAAUAGCAGUUGGAUGGUGCCAUCAUUGUUUACUUGACUCUUGACUAUACCUUUCAAAACAUUACUAAGCCUUAGAAAAGUCAGUUUCAUCGCAAUCAGAUUUGGUGUUCAAGACCGACUCAUUUCUAAAACAACCAAAACUCAUUGUCUUGAGAGAUAUAAAUUUAUACAUAGUUGUGUGGUCAACAAAAUUUCUUCGAAUUAUUAAAUUUUUUGAUAGGAACCAUGUGAACUAACUAUGAUUGUUACGGCCGGUAAAGUAUAAACAUUAUAUUCCUUAUUAGCAAAUUUAAACCGUAAAAUAGAAGGAUAAAAAAACGUACAAAACAAUAAAGGAAUAAUUGGCACGACGUUAAGCUUAACUUUACAUAAAUGAUAAGAGAGAAAAGUAGAGAUUUCACAUCAAUUAUUUCUAUUUUUUCCUUUAUCUUUGCAUUGCUUUAGUGAUAAUUCACAUUAAUUGGUAAUACACACCAUGUGAGAAAUAUUCAAAAGGAACAGAAUAGGACAAGCUCCAAAAAUAAUUGUUUACCUGUCACUUGUCUUGUCCCACUUUCUAAUUGUAUUUGUCUAUUUGAUAACUCUCUUAUCAUUGUUUUAUACAGUUUUAUCAUUAGUUAGUCACUAUUCUAUUACCAAAACUAGUUUAGUAAUAGACUAAGUCAAGGUUAUAUAAUCUCAAGUCUCAACUACUAAAAUGUACAAUAUUUGAUUAUUCAAGUAAACGAAUCAAUUUAAGUUCAUUGAUUAAAGACUUGGAAGGACACGGCCGGCUGAAACCUACCCUUACUCGAUCCACAAAUUUUCUAAAUAAGACUAUUUAAAGCCAUUGGAAGAUACUACUUUAAUUUGUUUAUUGUUUUCCUCUGAAAAGAUUAUUGAUCUAAGACUCACAAUCUUUCGUUAUAAGAAAAUUAAUUUAAGGUGGAAAUAAUAAUUAGAAUGAUAGUUAUAACUUAUAAGUUGAAUAAAAACUCAAUAAAAAAUCAAAACAUGAUUCAAAUAACAAAUCUUACUUUAAUUUUUUUUAAUUCUAAAUAACAAAUAAGUUCUUCAUCUCCAAUGCUGCUAAGAAAAUAUGAUUGAAUAUAUGUGUUAGAAAAAAUAAAAUAAAAAUCCGCCGUACUUAAUUGUAUCAUCCGCAUAUACAAACUAAAACCUAUUUUUUGUUGUCUCUAUCACUCUCAUAAUAAAAUAAAUAUGUAGUAAUUAAACAAGAAUUAUUAUAAAAAGAAAAUCAAAUACCUUAAUCACUUUUUUCUGAAAAUACUCCUCAACUGUUUUAAACAAAAACACAGAAAUAUCUUAAUGGUGAUAGUUGAUCAUCCAAGUAUCUGAAAUUAGCAGCCUCUUAUUAAAAAAAAAAUCUAGAUUUAAACAUGAAUAGAACACAAACUAACAAAUCAAACAAAACACAAUUACACCACAAUAGUCUAAAAAAUAAUACUGGCAUGGGAUCCACAAAACACACUGUCAGAAAAUCUUCAGAGUUCAGAGAACAAGAAGAAGAACAAAUCAGAAGAAUAAAACAGUAAAACCAGAAACAUAUCUAUUCUUACAUUUUUUUUAUCUUUUCUUGUUCUUGUCUCUUCCAUUACCAGAAAACAUUGAACCAAAACCAAACAAAUUCCCAGAAGGAACAACGUUUAUAACCGGACUCACUCUAAUCCCACCACCACCAUGGCUACCAUAACUAUAACCUCCAUAGCUUUUCUUCAAUGGUGGUUUCGAAAAACCAUUAUUACUCAAAGAAGACGAAGCAGAAGAAGAAGAAGACAACGAUGAAGAUUGUUGUAACUUAACAUGCUCGUUAUGUUUCCUUGAGCUGCUCUGUUUCUGUUUACUCGACGUUGAACCGGUUGAAUUACUCCGGUUUAGUAAUGGUAACGGACAUAAACUCCGUCCAUAAGUACUUCCACAGUUUAAACUACUGCUUCUCUUAAACCCCCAAAACGACUUCGUAUUGGUUUUCUCCUCCGUCGUGAUUAUCACGUCGUCUUCUUGUUGUUCUUCGUUUGGUUGUUUCCUCUGUUUUCUUGAAUCCGGUUUAGAUUUAACCGGUUUUGGUUCUGGUUCUUUUUUACCCGGUUCUGGUUUUUUCUUGAUUUCCGUUGGUAAGAUUUUGCCGUUAGAGAAGAGUUCAUCGGCGGACCAAGAACCUUGAUCGAAGCUUUCGCCGGAAUUUACGCCGCCGGGAAUGCAGAAAUCGAAAUCUAUGCUUGAAUUGAGGCUUGAUGGUUUCGAGUUUGAUGAUCUUAAGGGACGUUUCUCGAUUGGUAUUGCGUCUGAUUGACAAAAGUCACGUGAAAAUGAGAUUCUUGGACUCAUAUUAGAAUUUUCCGAUAAAAGAUCCACCGCCAUUUUUUCUUGAAGAAGAAGAAUUUAAAGUUUUUUUUUUAAUAAUGAGAAAUUGUGAAAACGAAGAGAUUUUUGGAUAGUUUCUGCAGAAAAAGAGGAGGAAGAAUUUCGAAGAAGAGAGAAAGAGAGAAUUUUGAGGAAGAAGGUGAAUUUAAUUAUUUUUAUAGGUGAUUUUACAAAAUUUAUUUUUUGGAAUAAAAAGGAGAAACAAUAAAAUGAAUUGUUAGAAUUGUUUUUGUGAAAAAGAGAAAAAAGGAAGAAUAAAAUGGGUUAAUAAAAGAGGGGACAGAGAAGCGUGUCGCUUGCAACAUAUUCACAUGCAUGGGCCAAAAAAGGAUAUAUGUUGGUUCUUCACUUUCGUACUUUUUUUUUUUUUGAAUGGUAUAAUUUUUUAAUGUCCAUAUUGAAAUUUCUGUAAAUAUUUUAGUUGAAGUCAAAAGAUAUAUGGUGAUUGCAAUCUUUGAAAUGUUUAGAGAGUAAACGUUUGGAUUCGUGUUGACCAAUUUGAUGAAGCAGAAGCAGUGAAUGUAGACCAAUGGUGAAAAAGUGCCCCGACGCAAGACUUUAAGAAACAAUUAAAUUACUAAAAUUUUGUCAAGAACAUUGUUAAGUAAAGAGAUUACAUUUAUGACAAAAAAAAAAAAAAGAGAGUACAUUUAUGAUAAAAAAAGAGAGAUUAGUUUGUGUUAAGAGGUAAUAGGGAGAGAGAAGAAAAAAAACUAAAUUGUUUCAGUAUUGUUCACGCAAGAUUUUUAAAUUGUCAUCAUGCAAGUUUUUUGUUAAUAAAUAUAGUUUUAAAUCGUAGUCACACAAUAUAUAUAUAUAUAUAUAUAAUUUUUUUCUUUUUUUUAAACGUCGUCACACAAGAUAUUUUUAAAUUGUAAUCACACAAUAUAUAUUUCAUAAUACAAAAAAUAUAACCAGAGUCAUUUCCGAAUACUUUCUGUAUUUUCUAAUUCGUUAAUUUUUUAAUUUAAUUCAUUCCUUUUAGUUUUAUUUGUAUGAGUUUUAUGUGUAAGAAGUCUUUUAUGUCAAAAUUUGGAUUCGGAUUCCCCAUCCUCGUUAGGUUACCACUUGCCACCUAAAGACUGUAGAACACAAUUCAAAACAUGUGUUAGAUAAGUUAAGGUAAUAAUAGCAUCAUUAGUCAUUACUGGUUCGGUGUACAAGAAUGUUGCAUCAUCCCAUCGAACAUUACUUCACGUUAAAUAAGGUCGAGCACUAGCCAGUCUUCGAAUAUGAUGUAUUCAGGAUGAUAUUUACAUAGGAAGUCAGUUACCAGAAAGUCUUUUUGCGGGUCUGACACCCAAUUAUUACAACCCGAAUUGUUUGGUGCUUUUGAUUGAAAUUUACCCCAACAAUAUUGUUACUGCUAAAACUAUUAGUUGAAGUUAGCCAAAAAAAAAAAAUCAACAACCUCAAUUAAUUCGAUUUUAAAACAUUUUGAUCCAAUCAUUUAUUUGCAGUGACUAUACCGACCUUACUGAACCAUACCAACUACAUUUAUCUACGAUGCUUUUCAUGAGUAUUGAAUUAGGAGCUAAACGAUACAUACAUCGUUGUCUUAUUAUUUAUUCAGUUCUUAUAUUAUUAACCGAGGUUUUUGUCUUUACUAAUUUAGAAUAUCCGUUUAUUUUUAAGAUUCUUAGUUUAGGUUUAAUUUAAUGGUUAGAUGAUAUAUUAAUUAAAGUACAAGAAUAAUUUUAAAAAACCAUACGGGUGGCAUUGUUGAUACUUCCAAACUGAUUAAUAAUAAGGGCAGACAAAUGUCAAAUACAUAUCAAGAACAUAGUUUUCUUUAAUAGUAGACCAUAUUACAAAUUCGUUGUUAUCCAUUUUUGUAAAAUAUGAAAUGUAUAUACAAAGAUUUGGUUACGUGUUUUUUUUUAUUGUCGCUAAUUCUACGUCUUUGUUCCUCUCAAAUUUGGAUUAUAUAUUUAUUUAUUUAAUUUGUAUUUAUCUUAUAAGAUGUAUAUAACAAAAUUUUGUUCCGAUAAGAGAAAUGGAUCUUUUGUGAAAGAAAAGUCUAUAACUCUUUAUUUAUUUAAUAUGAUGAGUCAUGCGAGUUUGCUUUUCAUAAAAUUGAAAUCAAUUUUUUCUUAAAUUUGAAGUAAAGAAAUUGUCAUGUGAUAGAAAGAAAGAGAGAGGAAAAGGAGAUUUCACAUUAUCUAGAAAAUGAAAGGGAACUAUGAAUAAUUUGUAAAUUUGUGAAUUAUAUGAAAAAAAAUAGAAGACAAAGUAAGCAUGGCCAUGGGUCCGAUGGCUACGUACUUACCGAAAACGAAGAAUCCCACUAAGAGAAGUGAAGGGUUAAGAGAUGGUCCACGUUUCCUACUAAACAUUUUCCUAUCCAUUUGGAUCGCCCACGAGCCCACCUUGAAACCAACCCGACCCGAUUCGACCCAAUCACGAACUGCCUACUUUGGCUGCUCUCGAUAAUACUAACAGGAACUUGUACAAUUCAGUUAGGGUUUGGUUAUGAUGACGGACCCAAAAAAUAUCGGAUUUUUCUGAUCCUAGUAAACAAUAAAGAUGGUCCAGUCCGACAAAUAGCAUUGGUGAUGUUUUUGCUGACAAUUACCGAACAAUAAAAGUAUAUAUUUACAUUAUCACACCUAUAAAUACACAAAUCACGUAUAAAUUUGAUAUUUCAAUAUUUGUGACAACAUUUUGACUACAUAAACCAUUCAUAUUUCCAAUAAUUAUGAAUUAUGGAAAAAAGAAUGAUCAAAAAUGAACUGAACUAUAUAGAAUGCUCAUGAAUUGGUAUUUUUUGGAAGAAACAAACAUUGAAAGUUAUAUUCUCUUUUGAAACAGUUAUGGUUUUUAUUAUACACCAUAAGAGAAUAUAAUCCGGAUUAGGCUUCGAUGACUUAUAUCACUCUACUUUUUUGUUUUUUUUGUUACAAUCUUAUAUCAUUUUUAUUAAGUUGUCUUACUAAUCAAGUUUGGAAGAUACAUCAGAUACUAACUAAUUUCGUAAACAAAGAUUGACACGGACGCGGACAACUUCUCACGAGGGACGUUGUUAACGGCUAAACAAGGAUCACAAGUCACAUGCAACCAUCUUAUGGUUGAACCUCCCUUCUAAGAGGACGUGGUGUGCAACUUGCGGUGGCUCAAUUUAAUAUAGGCAAUGGUAGAAGCAUCAUAUUGGGUCAGGAUCCAUGGCUCCCAACAAUGAUCUUGACUACUUCGAAUUAAACCAAAUGUUGAUCCGAGCUUACCAGUUCAAGUUCAACUCCACACAAGUACGGAACUCUGGAAAGAGGAGGAUAUAUGCAUGCAAAUCUAUGUCUCCAAUGAACAUAAUGAGGAUAUUUUUCUGUCUUUUUUGGGGACAAACAGGAAUUGCGAAGGUGUUUACUUUCAUUCAGCACUGAAAAGAGACACAACACCCUGAUACCACUUUAUGUGAAUUUGGAGAGUUUCUGAGAAUGUGUUUAAAUCCAUUAUCAGAUUAUAAUUUACACUCACCGAAUCCAUGAUAAGAUGUCUGAGAAACAAUCGAUAUUUGGAAAAUAUAUUAUUCACAUAAAAGAGAGAAAAAAACACAUUGAACAGAAUUUCAGAAUUCAUGUAUUUUGCAUCAUAUUUUCUGGACAAAUAUGUUAACUUAUUGCUUUUUCUAUGUGAGAGAGUCACUAAGAAAGUACUUACCUCUAGUCUAAGAUUUUGAGUUACAUAUGGAAUUGUAUGAUGUGAGCUUGUUCCUUGGCUCUAUUCUCUUAGAGGCCAUUUUCUCUUUGUGUUUUUACUAUAUUCUCUUAGAGGCAAGUGAGUUUUUGUUUUUUUAUGGUGAGUGUUGUGUUAAUUCCUAACCUCCCCCACUCUCUUAUAUGGCUAGUGAAUUAUUUUAACUGGACAUAAUCGGAAAUUCCUCCACAAUGGGUUUUUGUUUAAUACAUAUCACUCACUGGAAAAUGACAUUGGUAGAAUAAUAGGGAAACCCAUAUUUUAAAGUUAUAAAAAAAUAAAAUAAGAAAUUAGGACAUCUCCAAUGGUGAUCUCUAUAUUUUCCUCUAUUUUAGAGGUGACUCUAUUUUAGAGGUGUCUAUUGUAGUACAAUGCCUCUAAAAUAGAGUUUCCUCUAUAACAGAGAAAAAAUAGAGAUCUCUACAAUUCAACUCUAUUUUUUCUUCUAUUUUUGAAGAAACUCUAUUUUAAAGGUGACUAUUGGAUCAUAAUAUUUUUAAAAUAAAGAUGUAGCUAGUGAAUUUUAAAAAAUAAAAUUGUAUGUGCUCGAAAAUCCCUCCACUGCAUGUGUUCUGUUUUAUUUUUUAUCACAAUGAAAUUAUGUAUCCUGAAGAUGAAUGCAUGCAAAAAAAAAAUGAAGAAUCAUAUCUGUACGUGGAAUCCGCCGAGUAAGAAGUGAUAUGGUAUGUACUUUGCAAAUUAAAGAUUAGACAUCAUUAUUAUAGAUACCUCGAUAGGUUUGUUAUAUUAAUAUUGAUUUUCAUUUAUGCAACCAUACCCAAAGAUAAUCCGUAUAUUCAAAACAAAUUACGUUAAGCUAUCAUAUCAAAGUUUUCUAAUUCUUUUUUUUUUCUCAAAUAAUUAACUAAUAAUAAAAUUUUGCACUAAAACUAAAUUUGUGAAAGAAGAAACAACAAAAGUUAAGAAACAGAAGAUAAAGAAUAAGGUCAUCGUGUAAUUUGUUUUUUCCCUUUUUCGUUUGGGAUUAUUAGGUUGUUAGGGUUUUGAUUCAACACAUACGCUUUCUAUUAAAUCUAACUCUCUCACUUUAUCACCUAUCAAAACAAACGAACAGGAAUCUCAGCUUAAAGAGUUUGAAAAACAAUAAGACUUCUGAACCGUGCCGAGAAAUUUUGAUGCCGUAGGCGAAAAAUAUGGUUUAAUAGUUUAAUAAAAUAAUGUACACAUAACAAAAAAAAAAUAAUGUUCAAAAUUUAAUAAUAAAUUAAGAAAAUUUUAAGCAAAACUCAAAAAAUAAUUUAGAACAAAAAUAUGCCAAAAACAAAAUUAGGUUGAUUAUAAUAUGUAAUUUAGUAAAUUGUGUUAGUAUCAUUAUUAUGUAUGAUGCAUGAUGUUAAUAAAAUAAAAACAUAAUUUUGGUAGUUAAUAAAAAUAUAUAUAAUGGUAAUAUCCAAAAUAUAGUAUCUAUAUAUAAAAAUAUAAAAAUAGUUAAUAAAAUUUGAUAAAGAUGAUUAACAAAAAUGAAGCUGGUAAAGAAGUGAGAAAAAAAAAAUUAAUGAUAUAGGAAAAGAAGAAGUGAGAAAAGAAGAAGUGAGAAAAGAAGACUUUAAGUUAUUGCCUUAAGUGUAUUAAAGAUUCCUUGUAUAUAUUGCAUAUUAUACUACUUUCCUUUGUCAUUUGUAUUAAUUUUUGUAACGUUAUUGCUUCCAUAAUACUUAUAUGAUAAACAUAAUUAACAAAUAUAGCCUCUUCGAUUUUUUGUAAACGUAGGCGAGUGUUUCUUUUUUAUCUUAAUAGGCACGACUACAUUGGUUUAUUUUUCAACAAUCUUUUUCUUUUUUUUAACACUCAACAUCAUAUUUUCUCUCCCACACUUAAUCCUUCAACAUCUAUUUAAUUUUUAACUUAGAUAAUGGUUUGUUUAAUAAAAUUAACAUCCUAUCCCACUAUAUUGUAUAAUAUUUUUAUGUUUCUAGUUACAUAUUAAUAACAAUAAUCAAGUAAAAUCAAAUAAAAUAACUGCUUUUUAAAAAAAUAUUUGUCUUUUAUUUUAUAAUUUAUUGUUGAAAUCUAUUUUUCAAAGAUGUUUACAACUUUAAACAAAAGUGUAUGACAAAAUAAUUGAAAUAAUUAUAGUAAAAUAGACUAUGUUUUUUACAAAUCAAAUGAAACAAGUCUCUAUAUGUAAUGAGAGAAAAAUGAUGAAUUUGAUAUAAAAGCCAUUAAAAAAUUAGUUAAUCAUAAUAAUUAAUCUUAAAUAGUUAAAGUGAUAUAAAAUUUUGAAAAAUUCUAACAUCUAGUAAAAAAAACAUAUGGUUCCUGAUUUUUUAUUCAACAUAUUGAAUCUUUAUAAGUGUGUUUAAUCCUAAGAUUGUUUACUUUUUCAACAUCUUUGUUGCAAGAGUUAAUAAGUAGAAGAAGACAAAUGAGUUGGACCCAACGAACACGAAUUUCUUCAUGCCAUAAAUAUAUUCCACUACAUUGUUUGUUUUUCGUAUGAUUCCACUACAUUGUUACUUGUUAGUAUGCAUAUAUAUAUACAAUAGUAUCAUCUUGUUGAUUGACAUCUGUUUGUUGAUUUUAAAUUGAUAACUCAUUAAUUACAUACAUUUAAGGUAGCUGCAUAUUUCAGACUUGAUAUAGACUUUUGGUUUACCACGCUAAGAGACGUCGAUACCCACUAAUAUGCGGAUGUGCGUAAGAAAACUAUAGAGUAAUACAAGACCUUUGUAUUUCACUCAUUAAUUUGAUCAUUUUCUUACAAAUUAGCAAUUGACCGGAAAUAUCCAUAAGUAGAUAGAAUGGAAUUUCACUCUCUUUUUUCUUCAAUCUCCAGAAAGUUGAAUGAAGGACUAAAAACUAUAUCAAUUUGAAUCAUUUCAACUUUUAGAUUGAUAGUAAAUGAGUUAUUUUCGAAUGAUGUUAUAGAAAUAGACACAUAACAUCAUCUAACUAUUCGUCUAAUUGAUCCGUCUAGCUAGUUAACGAUAUUUCUCAAUUUAGUCAUCAACAAAAAUUCGUGAUUAAAUUAAAAAUUAAUAAAAAUUAGACAUUUUAAUUACUAGGUAAGAUGAUGCUUUAAAUCAAUAAAAAUGAUUAAAAUGAUUUUUUUUAAAACAUUAUUUUUCAUUUAUGUGUUAAAUUAAAAAUUAGGAAAAUUAAACGCGUAAGAUCUAGUCAAUGCGGUCAUAGGGAUGGGUCACCUAAUCAAACAUUGUUCUACCAAUUUCCUCGAAGAAGAAGAAGAACAUUAAGAAACUUAAAACAAUGUCAAAAUCUCAUAAACUAAUAAGAAACCAAUCAAAUUCGUCCAUUUUUCCCUCUUUUCUUUUUCUCUUUCUUUCUCCCAAUCACUCUUCAGAUUCCGGGGAAGAGAAAAGAGAGAAAGAAAGAAAGAUUCAAUCUUUAUUAGCCGGAGAUGGAUUCGCCAAACUGGGAACUCCGUGGUUGUUGUAACCGGAAUCAAAAUACUUUCCUCAUCACCAUCGGAGUCUUCACCGUAGUUAUCCUUCUGGUCAGUUUUCCGACCAGAAAGUUUUGACCUUUGCUUGUUUUUUUCGAUUUUGAAAGGGUUUUUGUAAAAUCUAGUCAAAAGGGUUCCAGAUUGACUUAUAAUUUCAACGAAAUUUGGUGAAUUGAGGCAUUUUAUGUUUCUAGGUUAACAUAAUUUUGAUUGAAGUAUCAAAGUUUCUGUUUUUAUGAUCUUUACUGAGAGAUUUCUUUGUGGGUUUUGGUUUGACAGCUAUGGAGGACAUUUCUAUUGACUCCAUUUAAACUCAUUACGGUGUUUUUGCACGAAGCUAGUCAUGCCGUUGCUUGCAAGCUUACAUGUGGAGAUGUAAGGAGCUUUCUCACUUCAACUACUAGUCUUCAAAUGAACUUAAAAGGGUAUAAGAUUGAUUUUAGGUCACUUGAACCCUUGAUUUAGUUUGCAAACAUGAAUGUGUUUCCUUCCAUUUGUAAAAUGUUGCUGUGUAAGAGCAGAGAAGAUCUUCUGGUUUCCUUAGAUAGAAAGAUUUUUACUUUAGCAAUAUGUCAGUUCAUUCUUCUCUCUGGACAUGACUGUUAGUAUAGCCAUAGAUAAGAGGUUGCAGUAUCCUUAUAUGUCUUGCUAUCUGUUUUAUCCGUAAUCAUAUUUUUAGACGAUUCUUGCUUGCUUCCAUUGUUAAUGUGUAAACUACUAGCUUCUGUCAUUAGUUUAAGAACACACAGUGAGUCUACUUGAAUAAGUGCAGCUGCUCAAGCCUUAGCUGUAGGUCUACAUUAACUUCCCUAGGAGUGAAUGUAACAGAUUAUAGCUCUUUUGUGUUGGUUAGAAAGCUUUUAGUGAGGACUGGUUUUAUAAAGAUGUCUCUGCAGAUAGUUAGGGUGUAGAUUUGAUGGCGAUUUUGGUUCUGUAAGAGUAGGAGUGUUCAGCUUCAGGUCUUAGUCUUACUAUACUUCUGCUUGUGUUUCUUCUAGAUUGAUUGAUGCAUAUCACAAUUUUACCUUAUGCAAGUAUUGCAGUGACAAUGUGAGAUCUACAAACUUUCCUUUGCAAGUACUUCCUGUAUGAAACUUAUCUACCAGCUUCUCUCUAUGAGUCUUUAUGUUUUACCCCCUCAUAAGAAUUAUCUUGAAUAGGCUAUGUAAAGGUUGAACAUAAAUACCACCAAAUGUGUGCACCAUCUCUCUGUGAUUCUGCAACUAACAGUCGCAUAUAAUGUGGAUAAUGUGUUUCUACUAACAAAUUGUCACUCGUUUUGGUAAAUCAACUUCUUAUUGAAUCAAAAGGUAGAGGGGAUGGAGGUGAAUGCAAAUGAAGGGGGUUCGACCACAACACGUGGUGGCAUUUAUUGGUUGAUCUUACCUGCUGGCUGUAAUGCACAAUCUAUCGAUAUAUCUUAUACAAAUCCACCAUUUUUCAAAUUUAGAACUAAAAGAGAUAAAGUUUUAACCUUUUUGUUGUUGAAAAUCUAUAGAUCUUGGCUCAUCAUUUUGGGGAAUGGCAUUGAUUCUUGCAUCUACCAAUCUGCUUACAGCAAGAAUAGCUGCUGCUGGUCUUGGUCUUGCUUUAUUCAUCGUUCUCUUCAUUGCCAAAAACGUAAGAAGUCAUUAUUUCCCUUAUAUUAACAAAGUUUUAUUUCCUUGAAAGUCAUCAACAUUAAACAAUAAGAGCUUCAAUUUUGACAGUGGACGCUUCGAGGGCUUUGUAUAGGUGUGUUAUCUUGCAAUUCUUCUUGUUGCAUUUUCUUUUUAAGUACCCAAAAUCCUUACAUAGUUGUAAAAAUCCCAGGUUUCAUAGUUUUCCUCGCUGUCAUAUGGGUUCUACAAGAGUUAACUACAGUCAAAAUUCUCCGUUAUGUCAUUCUGUUUAUUGGUAAGAAUACCAUCAAACUCUUCUCUGUCUUGUUAUCAUAAUUCAGUUUCAUUUAGCCUUAUAUAAAACUCGGAUUCACAUUAUUGCAGGUGUGAUGAAUAGCUUAUUCUCAGUUUACGGUAUGUAGUUCUCUUCUCCCAUUAACUACACUUAGAGUUAUGACUUAUGACCAAUAAUAAUGUGGCUGAAAUGUAUGCCCAUUAGAUAUCUAUGAUGAUUUGAUAUCUCGGAGGGUCCAUUCGAGCGAUGCUGAGAAGUUCGCAGAGAUCUGUCCUUGCUGUACCGGUUGUGGCUGGGGUGUCAUCUGGUUAGAUUCUAAUACAACUCUCAAUAAUCAGAUUCUGAAAGUGAAAGUGAAAUCCUUUUUCUAACAAUUAGUUUUCAUUUCAGGGGAAUGAUAUCAUUUGCGUUUCUUUGUGCAUCGCUCUAUCUCGGGCUAGUGAUCCUAUCAUAAGAGGGUAUUCUUUGUUACUCAGGUUCAGAUUCUUCCCAGUGAAAUGCAUGCAAAGACAAAUAGUUUGACAAAAAGAUUGAUUCUUUAGAUCCCCUUGAUGUGUUUGGGAUUAACAUUGUCCAUUGAAAGUUUAGGUUUUAUUUGAAAGUUUGUAUUCUUUUUAUAUUGGAGCGUGUUGAUUAGAAUUCAUUGGAUAUUUGAUUUGGUCUAUGUUUAAUGUAUUGAAAGUUCGUUGACUUUUUCAAUAGAAGAUGUCCGUUGACUUUUGUUAAGCUUCUCAUUAUUGAAAAUUUGGAACUUAAAGACGUUCAAAGCUUGACGAAGACAUCUUUAGAAACCCUAAAUAAGACUUGGUCAUCCUCAAACCCCAAAAAGGCAAAAACAUUACGUUCCUAUAAGAUUAUGUUCCUAUUAUUUCUUGUAAAGAAAAAAUAGAAUGUUCUGAAAAUAAUUGUCGUAAUUAAAAAUUUAAUAAAGAAGUUAUAAAGUUUCCUGAGUUAUAUAGAUAAUUCAACGAAAAAAAAUCUUUCAACUUUGGCCAAGUCCAUUUUAAUUCCUUCUAUCCACACGAAACGAAUUUAUUAAACCAAAACUUUAAGGAUUUUAAUACACCAAAACUUUAAGGUCUAUUAGGGUGAAAAUAUAACCAAAACUUUAAGGUGAUAUUUUCACUUUAAUACACCAAAAUUGAGAUUUCUUUUUUAUGAAAUAAAAACAGUUUGGACCAAAUUUGAAGAAUUAUUACGGAAAAUCAUUUUCCCACGUUUCAGUGAUGAGUGAACAGCAUAACAACUAAAAUUGGCGCUUACAUGGUUUUUUGGUGGUUCAUAUCUGUUUGUCCUUUCUUUAUUUAUUUUCUGGUUAAAAUGUUACAUAACUUCAUACCAAAAAAAACAAAAAAUGACAAGAUACCAUGUGUAAAGUUAUAUACUACACACAAUUUGGUUUUAGUAGAAAGGGUCGAAUGUUUAUCGGAAUAUCAUUCAAUUUUUUUGUGGUUUUUUUAUGUAGAUAAAGUUGUAUAGGAAAUAACUAUUCUAUCGAUCGAGAUAUAACUAACUUGACCAAAUACUAUAGAAUAUGUUCUUCUUCAUAAAAUAUUGGAGAUGUGCCAUAAAAAGAUGUUGACAAAUAAUUAGGCACAUGCAAGAACCGGGUUCGAUAAGUUGAGGAAUACCAAAACGGAACACAAACUUGGAGAAGAUGACGUAAAGGUCAGAUUUGGAGCAUAACGAACUCAAGGUCACCGCCUAAUUACUUUUUCAUCCAUUGACGACGUCUUCUAACAGUAACCCUUCAUUCUUCAUAUGAUUCCUACGUCUCCACUCACAUGAGAUACUAGAAUUCUAUAAUUUAGGUCUAUAUAUGGUUUUUGGCUAUUUUAUGACAUAAACGAAUUCAAUAACUAAAAUUCACAAUUUAACAUAUUAUAUAUGAUGUCAUGCAUGAUAAUUGCCAACUUGAGGACAGAAGUUUUUAUUUUUGGACGGAAGUUUGUAAAAGCUUGCAUCCACGAUUUAAAAUAGUGUUUGCAUGUUGUAUAGUUGAACACGUGGUAUAAGAAAAACUAAUAUUUUCGAUAUCAAUUGGGGAAAUAUACUUUUUUGGAAGUUUCUCAUCGUUGGAAUGAAGCUCUUUACCCUCCUAGGGUAAAAUUUCUUAUACUACGUACAUUUCUUUACGCGGAAGCUAUAGCUUAUAAAGAAUCGGUCUAUUGACCACCAAAUGGCCCAUUUCUGGACUAUGUCUCGUUUCAUGUAUGAUGGAAGAAUUGGAAUGACGCAUUUGCUCGAUGAUAGGACCGAUUAUGAUGGUUUAGACAAAACACAUCGGCCAAUCAUCAGAUUCCGGGGGUUUUGUUUUUCCAUUAAGCUAAAAUAAAAAUAAAAAAUAGUUUGUGUUUUACUGGUAAACACAAACACGAAAAAUAGUUUUACAUUCGUGUAUAUAUUUUUUAUAUUCCAAGAAAAUGAGGCGUCAUAAAUCAUAGUUCAUACUGUUGGAUUGCUGUUAAUGUUAUUUCUAUAUCAAACCAAGGCAAGUGAUAACAAAAAUAAGAAAUGUAAUAAUGUUGACUUGUAAAUAAAGUAAGAAAAUUAAAUUCUGUCAUUUCAGACGAGGAAGUAUGUCACAUGUAAAAUAGAUCAUUGAUACUUUUCAUGAGAACUUCCAUAAGAAUUAAGAAAGCCAUUGACUUCUACCUUUCUUAAUUUCCAGCUUGACCCAUUUUUUCUCAUGAAAUUAUAAGAACUUUACGUAUUAAAUAUAUAAUUAUUUUAAAUAUGUUUAUAGUUAUUAUGAAUUUUAAAAAAUUUGUAAUGUAUUAACCAAGGUUGAAAUUAUUUGAUUUGACUUUCUAAAUACCAAAAUUCAUGUAAUUUCUUUUAGUUCUUACCAAAAUAUUUGUGUGGUAUGCUAAUAUUCGUUUUAUAUGUAAUUUCUGAGAAAAUUUCAUCCCAACUAAAAUAUUAAGUGGCAAACAAUGUAUAUAGGGAGAGAUUCUACUUUUCAUAUUGUAAAUUAGAGUCAUAUCAUAUCUAUAAUGUUCAUCUAAUAUGUGAUAAGGAGAACAAAAAUAAUGGCAAGUUUGGAAAAAAAUCAUUUUGCAUAUUUUGACUCAUUUGCAUUUUUAAAACCUUUUUCUUGAUCCUUCUCCUUAUCUUAUCUUUUCUCAAAUUCUAUAUUUCCAAAAUAAAACACGCACUUUCUAUUUUAAUUAUAAUAAAAAAAGAGUUCUCAAGUUAUCUUCCAAAACUGGUCUUUACCACUAUAUUUCAGAUUUCUCCUCCACGUCUACUGAUUGUCAUAGAUGAUGCGUUCUCUUCUUGUUCACACGUAAGUACUUCAUUUUUUUGGGUGCAAAUGCAACAAUUCACACGUAAGUAUACUUUUCACAAUUGCUUUUUUUUCUUUGUUAAUAUAUAGUUAUAUACUUUCCAUAAUAUAAUUCAAGGAUUUCUCGUGAACCGAUUUUUUAAAAACAGUUAGCUAAUGCAUAUCUUUAUUUCUACAUAAAGAAACACAUAUUUAGUCUAUUGCUUCUCUAUCAAUAUUCUUCUUUCCAUAUAUAUAUGAUUGAAUUUUAACCCUCUUACAAGGAAUAUAUUUCAUUUAUACAUUAUAUAUAGAUUACAAGAAAACCCCAUCACUCUAUAUUAUCAGAUUCAUCAUCGAAGGAAAAAUAAAAUAAACGGCCAAAAAUGGGAGCAGACGCAAUCCAAACGAAUGGUCACGAUCAAGCCAAGUUAACCGGCGGUGAAGAGAUCCAACGGCUGAGAUGUUUUGUGAAGAACUACGAAUGGGGCAAACUCGGACCGGAGUCAUUGGUGGCGAGACUCCAAGAGGCUAAUACAGGACAACGAGUCGAUUCGGAGAUUCCUUACGCUGAGUUUUGGAUGGGUACUCAUGAGUCUGGACCGAGUCAUGUUGAAUUCGGGUCGGGUCAUGGUGUGUCUGAUAAAUGUAUGGUUACAUUGAAAUCGUGGGUUUUGGAUAAUCCGAAUUUACUCGGGUCUAAAGUCGUGGACAAAUGGGGUUGUGAUCUUCCUUUCCUUUUCAAGGUAAUGAUCAAUUUCUCUGUUUUUUACUCUGUUUUGAAGAUGUUACAUUUGACUAAGUUUUUCUGAUUAACAAAUUUGAUUUUUAUGUGUUUCUAAAAGUUAUAAUAUACAGAUUUGAGUAUAAUCAUAUUAUAAAAACAACUAUAUAUCUAUAUAUAUAUAUAUAUAUCUUAUAAUCAAAAUAUACAUUUUCAGAUUCUGUUUUAUUGUCAAUUUCUCUGUUUUUUUCCUCUGUUUUGAAGAUGUUACAUUUGACUCUGUUUUCAUUAUUAAAAAGGUUGAUUUUUUUUUGUGUUUUUUAAAGUUAAAGCAUACCGACUUGAAUCUAAUGAGAAGUUUUUUCUUGUUGUAAUGCGAAAAUUAUCGAAAUCAUUGUUGAUUUAGGCACAUCCUAAUAAUUUCUCUGUUUUUUUGCUCUGUUUUGUAGAUGUUAACAUUUGACUCUGCUUCUCUAACUAAAAAUGGUGACUAUUUGUGUGAAUUUUUAAUCUAAUCAUAAGUGUUUUGGUUUUUGAAAUGUGAAAAAUUAGGUUUUGUCAGUAACGAAAGCAUUGUCGAUUCAAGCACAUCCAAAUAAGGCCUUAGCAGAGAAAUUGCAUAGAGAAGAUCCUCUUCUUUACAGAGACAAUAACCACAAGCCUGAGAUUGCUCUUGCUGUUACUCCUUUUCAAGCCCUUUGUGGUUUCGUAACUCUUAAGGUACACAACUUCAGAUCUUUCUCUCUGGUAUCUUAUUACAUUCGGGUUUUAAGUUUUGCUUAGAUCUGAUUCGAUCUAAACGGUUUUGUACCUAAAUUGAAUCAGGAACUGAAGGAGGUUAUCACUAAUGUACCAGAGAUCACGGAGCUUGUAGGAAGCAAAGCUGCAGAUCAAAUCUUCAACGUCCACGAACACGAUGAAGACGAGAGAAUCAAAUCCGUUGUUCGAUUGAUCUUCACACAGUUGAUGUCUGCAAGUAACAAUGAGACGAAGCAAGUGGUUUCUCGGAUGAAGAAUCGUCUGCUCUUAGAGACCAAACACCGUGAACUGUCGGAGAAAGAGAAGUUGGUUUUGGAACUGGAGAAACAGUACACUGGUGACAUAGGUGUCAUCUCAGCCUUCUUCUUUAACUAUGUCAAGCUUAAUCCUGGAGAGGCUUUGUAUUUGGACGCUAACGAGCCACACGCAUAUAUAUCCGGUGAUUGUGUUGAGUGUAUGGCGGCUUCAGACAACGUAGUUAGAGCUGGUCUUACUCCUAAACAUCGCGAUGUUCAAACGCUUUGCUCUAUGCUUACCUACAAAUUGGUAACUUUCUUUACACGUUAAAUUUUUGGUAUCUUUCUUUACACGUUAACAAACUGGUUUAGUUGGUAAACCGAUUGUUUUUUCUUCUUUGUCCGGUUUAUUGAUAAAACGUACCGGAUUUGGUUCAGGGUUACCCGGAGAUUCUGAAAGGAUUUCCUCUGACUCCUUACGUUACAAGGUAUCUUCCUCCAUUUGAUGAGUUUGAAGUGGAUCAUUGUGAUCUUCCUAGAGGAAAAUCGACGGUUUUUCCGGCAGUACCAGGUCCUUCGGUUUAUUUGGUUAUUGAAGGAAAAGGGCAAUUGCGAACCGGUUCAUCUAAAGUUUUGGUAAACCGAGGAGAUGUUUUGUUUGUUCCGGCUGAUAUUGAGAUUCACGUAACUGGAGAAAGUGAUGUGAUGAAGCUUUACAGAGCUGGAGUCAGCAGCAGAUUCUUCCAAACAUUGUAGGCUAAAGUUUAAGUAUAUUAAAUUUACUAAUUACUAUAUACUAUAUAUAUUUAUAAGCAAUCAUAGGGACCAAUUCUCCAAAGUGUUAGGAAAUGUGUUCUUUAAAUCCUUGAUGGCCCAUUGCAAAUUCAAGGAGUUGUCAUUUUCCUAUAUUUAAUUUUGAUUUAAACGAACUAUAUAUGUAAAAUGAUUGUAAAACCAUGUUAUCCUAAUUUAAAAUAUAUUUGAGAUGAAAUUAGGAUAAAAUAUCUUUGAUCACGUGUGUUAAUUGAUGAAAUUUCUGAGCAGUCUUCGAGCCUCGAUAUAUGACUAAGUCAUUGUCGAGGGAAGCUUUAAGUUUACUAAGUACUAACAGAUAGUUGUGAUGGCUGUUUCCUCCUCCACCUAGUUAGAGGAGAAGUUGUUAAUUUUCUUUCUAGUGGGGAAAACUAAUUUGGAUUUGGUUUUUGAUAACUUAAUUUGGAUUUGGGCCAUUUAUAUUAAUUUAUGAGGUUUAUAUUGGGCUUGAGACCAAAGAUAGAGUUGGCCUAAAAAUGUGAAGGUUUCAUGCUUUUUGGUAAGUCUGCCUCAUACCUAGCAUUACAUUUCCAUCGAUGCAUAUUCUUGAAUAUGUGUUGUGUAACUUGUGUUGAUUGAUUGGUGUACGGAGCACUUGAUCUGCUGAUGAGGUCAUGACACACCACUCAACUAAAGGGCUCGAGUCGUAGUAGUGUUGUCACAUCAAAACGGAUUUAUUAAACGUUUGACAAAUUUAGUGAACCUAAAUCUGUAGUUUAGUAAAAUAUUUGAAGAGGAGGUUUUCAAGUUGCAAAUUUCUGCAAAAACCUCAUGAGGUAAACUUAUUGACAAAAGAUGAAAACUUGUCUCGAGUUGUUUGGUCUCAUUGAUACUGUCAACAACUUAACCCAUUACAGCUAAUUUAACAUGAGCAAAAGCAUAAUGAAGCAUCAUUCCAAAUCUUUAUAGGCAUUUAAGAAACCAAGAUCAUCAGCUUAUUUGUACUGGUUGUUGAUUAUAGCUUUGGUUACGAAAUGCGAAACGAUUCCAACCGGACAGAAGAGAAGGCAAAGUGAAACCGAAUGCCUCGUCUCGAUCUGGUUCUCUAACCCAUCAUUAUAAACUUGCCUGCAGAGUAAACCCAAAACACGCUUUAUAAGAAACAUGUAGGAUAAUUUCAGAACCCAUUGAGAAGAAGAGAAGUGUAAUAUACCGUGCAGCGAAAAGAUCUACAACAAGAAGAUGAAUCCAAGCAGAAGCAAGAGUCAUUUCACUUGAGAACAUUUUAGCUAUUCCAGACAACUGCAGAUGAAAAAACUAACUUUAGAAACUGCAAUGAUACAAAUAUUGUGGAUGGUUAAGGGAAAGCAAAACCUCUGGCAACAUGUAUUUACUAGAAAACAUGUAUUUGAGCGUCUCGGGUGUCCAAGAAAUGUAUAACAAAUACACAUAUAAUACGCCUAAGAUGAUAUACGGUACGCUACUCUCCAUACACUUCUUGGUCUGCACAAAGAAACAUACUCAAUUUUGAUCAACUUCAUUAGGUCAUCAAGUUGUAAAACUUGCAACAAAAUUAAACUUACAAUUUCAGCUUUUGGUGCUACAACCAUUAGAGUAUAGAAGGGUAAAACCGCGGUAGUUCCAACCGCAAAUACACUGCUUGCAAUCUGAGUAGUAGUUAACCCUACAACAUGAACAUAUAAGAGAUUCUAAUCACACAUAUAAUCUUAGAUCAAAGUCACAAAAUGAGUGACAAAGUUUAAUCUUUAAAUGGUUAUGAGACACAGUACAUGAAGCUCGUACACCGGAGAAUUUCUUGUGAACUACGGUGUAAGAAUUGGACUGAACAGAGAUUCUUGAUCCUCCAAUGAAGCUCCAACGAUGAUCUAAUCUAAUCUUUGAAGAAUCAAGACAAAGUUCCGAUCUUUUAGCAGAAACGUUGCGUUUCAUCACCUGAAUUCACCAACAAAGAAAGAAAGAUUCUUCUUUUACUUCAUAGAAAUUCAGAAACUUUCAUACAAAAACUCACAACAAUCAAGAACAGAGAUUCUGUAACAGUGACUCAGAAAGAAUAAAGUCAACUCAAAAACCCAUUAAAUUCUUCAAUUCUAGUCAAAAGAUAAAAAGACUUUAAGGUUAUCCAUAACUAUAGUUUAACUCAACACAGAAUCUAAUCCAACAACUGUACAUAUAUGUAUAGUGAAAUUAAAGAAGAAGAAGAUACCGAGAGAGAUGAAGACAAAGGCUGAGAAAUGAAAGAAGAAAAACCCAUCUCUGAUUCAAAUCUUCACCACUAAUUGCCAAAAAUUGAUCUUUCAUCACCUUCUUCAACAAACUCUCUGCAUAUAUAUAAUGGGAAUGGUUGCGAGAUUUCCACUGGAUAAAAAAAAACGAAAGUGGAAGGGAAAAAAGUUGUCUUUCACUCUUUCUUUGCUCAGUGUCGACAAUUAUAUACAACACUUUUUGCUCAUCCUUCCAUCUUUAUAAAGUUUUCAUCUUUUUUACUUCAAUAUUUGUUUAAACUUUGAAUUCCGGUUUAGUUUAUUAUAAUUAUUUGGAUUUUGUUUGUUUAUUUAAUUAACUUCUAAUUUAAUAUGGAUCAAUUAGUAGAUUUAAGUAACAUUUUUGGUUUACUUCAAUCAAUGAUAUAUUUUUACUAUUACCAUAUAAGUUUUUAUUAAACCAAUUAUACAUAAAAAAAAAAGUUCAAUACAAUUCAAUAUAAAAUUUUGAAUAUAUUGAUAAAAAGUUAAAUAUAUAUAUUUUAUUUUUGUGUGAAAAAAGUUAUAUGUGUAUGUUAAUGGAGAUUUAAGUGAAUUUAGGUGGACAAGACACAAGUCUAGUUUCAGGAAAGAAAAAGACAAUGGUUAGUGUUUCCCCCCAUUAAUUCGGUUGUUUACUUUUAUUACAUUUAUAUAUUUUUAGUUUUAUAUUCACAACCUGGUUAUUGCAUUAAGAAUUGACUGAAAAAAAGAUUUAAAAAAUACGUUAGGACAAGAAAAAGAUAGACAUGUGGCUAAUACUCAUUGUUGGAGAAAUUGGAUGGAGUAGGAAGAUAACUUGGGUGGGCUAUUUGGUAUGAUAACUUAUUUGCUUUGGUAUUAAUGGGCCUUUUGACCCACCCACUUUGUUUUUUUGCUUUAUCACUCCCACCUAAUUUGUUUAUUUAACAAAAAAACAACACAUGAAAACAAAAACAAAUUGUGAAAAAAAGAAAAAAAAGACAAAUCUUUGGUAUCUCCUAUCUUUCAAUCUUUCUGUGGUAUUUGAGCAUUUCGAUGUUUUCGAUGGUGACCAAAACCUUUUGGUAAACAAUAUGUAUAAUUCUUGAGAUUAAAUGGUACAAAAAUUAUUAAAAAGGGGUAAAAAUCGUUUAAAAUAUUUCAAAACUUUACACUAUAUCAGUAACUAAUUAGGAAAAAAUUAAAAAAAAAAAUGAAAGAAAAUUUUGAGUUUUUACGACCCACACAUAGCUUAUCCUAUUUCGAAAGUACCUAAACAAACGACUCCAAAAUAUCUUUAUGUGAAUUUGGGUCAAGUCCCUUUGAUUGAGGAAAUAUAUGAUCCACAAGAUCCUUGAAUAUACUUGGUAAAAAUGAAUAUUCGAGACUCUUAUCCAGAAUCCUAUCCUAAACAAGGCACGUCCACUUAUGUAUCCAUCACUAGAUUUCAAGUGGGUCAUCUUUUGCUUCAAGAUAUUGUUACUCUAAACCUCUCAAGCUCGUUAAUCAUGUGACAAGAAUUGAAUGUGAAACUAAUUUUCUUAAUGAUUUCUUUAGCGACUCAUGGUUCUUAAACUUGUAAAUUUCAUAUUUGUAGCCGCAUUGUCCUAUUUUCUUUUUGUUGAUAUGCAUAUCAAAUUGAAAGACUUAUAGAACAUUACAUAUUUAUUUCAUCAGACAGUUGAGAAUCCGAUAGAAUAUGUCUCGCAAACCGGAAAACAAACGUUAAGUCCGGAAAUUAAAACCCAAGAAAGAAGAAAAAAGCAGAAAAACAAGGGAUAAAAUCAAAGAUGGGGGAUAAAGUUUUGAGGUUUACACAAAAGCAAAGGGAAAUUAACCGGUGAAGCUUGGUGGCUUGUAGGCAAUGAAACUGAUGCACUGGACUUGACGGGUGUUGUCGAAUCCGAUGAUCCUAAUGAAGGCAUUGGGGUACUCCUUCUUGCACUCUUCCACUUCCUUCAACACUUGAGCGGAGUCGGUGCAACCGAACAAGGGAAGCUUCCACAUUGUCCAGUACCGUCCAUCAUAGUAUCCGGGUGAGUUACCGUGCUCACGGUACACAAAUCCGUGCUAUACAAACCACAUGUUACAAACCACUCAGAUAACAUUUUGAACAUGUUUAUAUAAAUCAAGAUCCUAAUAUAUUAAACCAAAUUUUCCUAAGAUCUAGCUAGUUUAUAUAGAUGUUUAAAUUUUGUUUAAUUACCUCCAACUCGAAUUCAACACAAGGAAUCCACUUGUUGCGGAUAAGGUAGUCAACUUCCUUAGCCAAUUCGGAAUCGGUAAGGUCAGGAAGGUAAGAGAGAGUCUCAAACUUCUUCUUUCCAAUCGGAGGCCACACCUAUUUUUUCGAUUUUUCCAAUGAUAUUAGUUUAUGUAGAUUCGAAGAAAGAACCGAAAAAAAUCAUAUGGAAUAAUAAAAAAGUGAAAGAAGAAAUAUAAAUGACCUGCAUGCAG